AACAAAACAGCAACUUUAUACUUUCGUCGUGGUAGAAACCCAACAUACACAAUCAAAUUAAAGAAGUGCCACCAGCUGGUCAUCUGGUUUAUUUAUAAUCACUCAGAGGCAUAUAUACUUUGACUCCAAGCAAACGAGCACGCAACAAGGUAAAUACAGUUAAGGUGCUGGUAGGAUGAUGGGAGGUGAAAUGUGCGACUCAACGUCCCAUAGCUCCAAAACCCCAUGAACAAAGUCAUAGUAACCACCCUUGAGCGCUAGGUUGUUCUCUGCGAGCGCCUUUUGAACGUAAGGGUAAGUUUGUAGGUUUAUUAGCGACAAAUUUACUGCUUCCUGCAUAAAAAUUAUCAUUCAAGAAGAUGUUUAGGUGAGAUUAAUGUCAUAACUCAUGAAAGCGCACGCACACACCUUAACUGGUCACUAAAAAUUAUUUCAUUUGCAAAAAGUGAAUCGAGAGUAAAUGGCCUUCCAAAUAUUUCAUCAAUCCAAGAUCGAAUUAAUAUCUUACCCUUGCACAAUCCUCACAUUGUUCCUCGAAAGUGGUGCCACCUUGUCCAUUUGCUAUAACCUUAGCCUUGGCGGGUAAACCAAUUUUGACCCAUUCAUCUAUGAAGUCACUGCAUAUUCCAAUCAAAUGGUUAAGGAUGCAAAACUAUAUACCAUUAGCAAGUUCUAAUGAUCUCAGUUCAUUGCUAAAAAAAUGAUUAGGCUGGGUUUUUGGCUAUACUCUUUGACCAUCCUAAAAAUGCUAACAAAUAUCCAAAUUAACAGGUCUUAUAUUGCAUCCUUGUAAACGAUUAUGAUUAAUCAUCUUCCAUAAUCUACAACUUUUGUGUGUAAAAAGCCUUACAAGGGAACAGAGUUAUCCUCAGGGUGACUCAUAAGCCUCUUUAUCCCACCACAACGACUGUGUCCAAUUACCAAAAUAUUUGUCACCUGUUCAAUUUUCUUCUUGUUAGCAUUCAAUUCAUACUAUUUGAGUAACAAGUGAAGAGAAAAGGAUUAAGAGUUAUUAAUUCAAUAAAUUAAAAGACUUUUGGAAUGUUUACCAGGAGUUGUGUAAUAGCAUAUUCUAUAACUGCUCCAACUCCUGCGUGUUUCAGCUGUAAAGAUAUGGAAAAAAAUUAUUUUCGUAGUCGGAUGCAUGACUAUUAUGUGAUUUAUGAGAAAUUAUAUUCUCAAAGUUCAAUAUUAUUUUGAACGUGAAACUGACACACUUGUUCAUACAGUUUCUAAUGCAGGUGUGCGUUACUAUUAUAUAAUGUAGAGAGUAAUGGACCUGACUGAAUGCAGGAACCAUGUUUGCAAUGUUGCGAGCCAUGAAGGCCUCCCCAGGUUGGAAACUAAGGAUAUGUGAGGGGCUCACUCGGGAGUCCGAGCUGUUAAAGAUAGUGAAGGACCAGCUAUUAAUCAUGUACACAAUACAUUAGAAUAAUACUCUCAGAUACUUAGCUUAGCUGUUAAGUUUUGGCUUGUUAGAAUUAGUUGUGUAAAAUGCUUAGUCAGCAUUAUUAUGUAUUUUAUGUGUAUAUAUAUACACUGUGUACUUUGUAACUGAUGUAAUGAGAAAACCAUUUUACAACAAAUCCAAUCUCUCUCUAGAUAUUCUCUCUCUCUAAUUUCUCUCUAGAAUCUUGAGUUUCUCCAGAUCCCUAAUCUUCAACAUGGUAUCAAUCGCCUUCGUCUCACGACUUCGAUCCUUGCUUCCGUGAAUUUUCUCGCCUUUUCUUACCUCCCAAACAGAUCUUACCUUUUUCUUUUCUGUAUCUUGUCUACUAUUUCCAUGGCGACCACCACGAAUCCUUCUGAUUCUCCUUCUCCUGCAACUUCUUCUGCCCCGGCUCCCUCUCUCCUCACUCCGAUUGCAUCUAUUACUGUUCAGAAUGUUGCUGGCAUGGUUCCAACUAAGCUCAAUCGUCAGAAUUACAUUACCUGGCGCAGUCUGUUUCUUCCUGUUCUGAAAUGCUUUAAGCUUCUAGGGCUCAUCAAUGGCGAAGAUCCUUGUCCACUGGAAUUUGUUCGUAACUCCUCUGGUUCUCGGAUUCUCAACCCCGAUUAUGAAGCUUGGUGUGAACGAGAUCAGAUUUUGACAAUCUGGAUCAAUUCUACACUUGCUGAGGAUCUUCUUCCACUGACGAUUGGGAUGGAAGAUUCGCGGUCUCUUUGGCAGUCUCUUGAGCGUCGAUUUGCUGGUGCUUCGCGCACUCAUGUCCACAGUCUUCGCUCCAAGAUUCAGAAUAUUCAGAAAGGUGAUUCUUCAUUGACCGACUAUCUCAACUCCAUCAAAGAAAUCUCUGACAAACUGGCCGCGGCUGGUGAGCCGAUAUCUGAGAAGGAUCUUGUUGCGUAUAUUCUUUCUGGUCUGCCGGAUGAGUAUGAAUCGUUUAUUGAUUCAAUUGAGACGCGAUCUGAAGAUGUCAAUGCUGAUGAACUUCACGACCUUCUUCUCAGUAAAGAAAUUUCUCUUCAAAAACGCAAGACUCGAUCAUCUUCCUCCUCCGCUCCUUUUCAUGCCUAUACAGCACAGCCACAUCCAUCUGUCUCUAAUUCCUUUCGCGGAAAUUCUCGAGGAAAGUCUCAGUAUCGCAAUCGAUCUAAUCAGAAUCGUCAUUUUGGGGCUAAUCAAAAUGGUACUUUUGGACCUAAUCCGAAUCGUUAUUUUGGAGCUAAUCGGAAUGGUACUUUUGGCGCUCAUAGCAAUUCUGGUGGUGUCCUUGGUCCUGCUCCAAAUCAGAAUCGAUCAUCCUCAUUUUUCUCUGGACGUCCUAAUCCAUGUCAACUAUGUCAUCAACAUGGUCAUCUUGCUAUUUCUUAUGGUCAACUUUCACAAUUUGCGUCUCAGCACUCUCAGGCCUUCACCAACACUCCUGUUGGCAUGUCUGCUAUGACUGGUUCCUCUUCCCCAAGCUAUUGGCUCACUGAUAGUGGUGCUUCACAUCAUGUCACUCCUGAUCCAGCAUCUCUCAACUCAGGAAUUCCGUACACUGGUACUGAACAACUGUUCGUCGGUGAUGGUAAAGGUCUUUACAUUUCUCACAUUGGAUUUGCACUUCUUCGAACUGCCAAUGUUGCGUUUAAACUGAAUAAUGUUCUUUUAGUUCCUAAAGCUUCUCAUAAUUUGCUCUCAGUCUAUCGUUUUGUUCAUGACAAUUGGUGUUCUCUGACAUUUGAUCCUUUUGGAUUCUAUGUCAAGGAUCUAAGAACUGGGAGGACGCUUUUCCAGGGCCCCAGUGAAGGAGGUCUUUAUCCCUUCUAUUGGAAUGCAUCUAAUGGCGUAUCUGGCAUUGCUAUUUCACCUCAUGCCCUCAUGAUAGCUAAAGCAGACAUCCAUAUAUGGCACAGAAGGCUUGGACAUCCUUCUUCUAUAGUGUUAAAUAAGGUUGUCAAGCACAGUAAUCUCCCUAUUGUUGGUUCAGUACAUAAACAAUCAUUUUGUUCUGAUUGUCAAUUGGGGAAGGCCUCUAGACUCCCAUUUUCUGUUUUGCCUUGUACAUCCACUAGGCCAUUUCAUAUCAUUCAUGCUGAUGUAUGGGGUCAUUCCCCCACUCCUUCAUGUACUGGAUAUAAAUACUAUCUCAUUCUUGUUGAUGAUUUCACCAAAUAUAGUUGGUUAUAUCCGUUGUACUUCAAAUCUGAUGUGUGUUCUGUUCUUCAAACUUUUGUAUUAAAAAUUCAGAAUUGGUUUGAUUGUAAGAUUCAGUGCCUGAGAUCUGAUUCAGGGGGUGAGUUUCUCAGCUCUAUUUUACAAGGUUUUCUUAAUGCUCACGGUAUAGUCCAUCAAUUGAGCUGUCCUCACACUCCCGAGCAGAAUGGGUGCGCUGAGCGGAAACAUCGACAUGUUGUGGAAAUGGGAAGGACUUUGUUAUCUCACAGUGGUUUGCCCUCUAAGUUUUGGGUUGAAGCAUUUCAAACCGCAGUGUAUCUCAUCAAUAGACUGCCAUCUCAGUUUUCCUCUUGCCCCUGGGAAUUAAUGUUCAAAGCACCGCCUAAAUAUCAUGUUCUGAAGACUUUCGGUUGUGCCUGUUAUCCUUGGUUACAACCCUAUAGUUCUCAUAAACUGGACACAAAGAGUAAACUCUGUGUAUUUUUGGGGUAUAGUCUGCAUCACAGUGGGUACAGAUGUUUUGAUCCGGUUACUAACAAGUUAUACAUUUCACGACAUGUUGUCUUCGAUGAAGCUUGCUUUCCUUUCAAGCAAUGUACUUUUUCUCCUACUCUUUCCCCCAUCUCAACUACUACACCUUCAGACUCUCCCAUUUCCUUUACCAUACCGGUCUCUUCUUCAUCACAUCUACCCCAUGCCUCCCCCUUACCUCCUGCCACUGUCUUACCAACUUCAUUUCCUACUUCACUCUCACCUACUACUGUGCCUUCUCCACCUUUAGCAUCCCCUACUCACCCUACAACUACUCCUCCUUUAGUUUCUCUCCCUGUUAACAAUCAUCCCAUGAUUACACAGGCCAAGGUUGGCAUACACAAACCUAAAGUGUUCACUGCCACCAAGCAUUCUCUUCCUUCGACUGUUGACUCUCUCACAGUUAUUCCUUCUACACCCACCACUUAUCUCCAAGCUUCUAAAAACUCCCACUGGUUGGCAGCAAUGAAGGAUGAGUAUCAAGCUUUACAGUCCACAGGUACUUGGGAACUAGUACCCCCCAAUCCUCAAUAUAAUUUGGUUGGCUGCAAAUGGGUAUUUAAACUUAAACACAAGGCUGAUGGUUCUAUAGAAAGGUACAAAGCUCGGCUUGUCGCCAAGGGAUUUCAUCAACAGGAAGGUCUUGAUUUCUCCGAGACGUUUAGCCCAGUAGCUAAACCGACUACUAUUCGCAUUCUCCUGUCUAUUGCAGUCACAUAUAAUUGGUUUAUUCAUCAGUUAGAUGUGAGUAAUGCAUUUCUCCAUGGCUAUCUCAAAGAGGAUGUCUACAUGGUGCAACCUCCUGGGUUUAUUGAUCAAUCUCAACCUCAUCACGUUUGUAAACUGAAGCGAUCGCUUUAUGGCCUCAAACAGGCGCCCAGGGCCUGGUAUGAAGCCUUUUACAGUGCUAUUCUUUCAUUGGGUUUUAUCUCUUCAUCCUCUGAUACUAGUCUUUUUAUCAAGAGAGAUUCUACUAUCACCUUUAUCCUAGUCUAUGUGGAUGAUAUAAUCAUCACUGGGAGCUCCUCCAUGGUCAGUCAGUCCAUCAUUUCUCAACUCCAAUCUUUGUUUCCUGUCAAAGAUUUGGGUGAUAUUCAUUACUUCCUUGGCAUUGAAGUUCACAGAUCCCCUACCGGUCUCUUUCUUAAUCAAUCCAAAUAUGCCUUGGAUUUACUAAAGAAAACCGACAUGCUUGGUGUCAAACCCUGCUCUACUCCAGUGAGUUCAGCCAAGUUAGACAGUUCUGGCUCUAUUCUUCCAGAUCCUACAACUUAUAGGUCCACUGUUGGUGCACUUCAGUACUUGACUUGGACACGUCCUGAUCUGGCUUUUGCAGUAAAUCAGGUUUGUCAACAUAUGCAUACUCCUAGAACUAUCCAUCUACAAGCUGUCAAGAGGAUUUUACGGUAUCUAAAGGGUACCAUUGCCUCCGGCUUAUGGUUCAAACCAGGAAAACAGUGCCUCACAGCUUGGUCUGAUGCUGAUUGGGCAGGUUGUCCGGUAGACCGCCGAUCUACUAGUGGCUACUGUGUUUUCUUAGGUCCCAAUUUGAUCUCUUGGAGUGCCAAGAAACAAACCACUGUGGCACGAUCUUCUACUGAAGCAGAGUAUCGGUCUUUAGCCAAUACUGCUUCUGAGAUUACCUGGGUGUGCAAGAUCUUGAAGGAUAUUUCUUUUCCUCUUCUACAACCACCUGUGAUCUGUUGUGAUAAUCUGAGUGCAAUUGCUUUAGCCAAGAACCCAGUUUUUCAUGCCCGAACCAAACAUGUCGAGAUUGAUUAUCAUUACAUCCGAGAGAAGGUUCUUCAAGGUCACAUCAGUAUUCAUCAUGUUGCUAGUCUUUUUCAGAUUGCUGAUAUCUUUACCAAGUCCUUACCUGCAGACAGAUUUGCUACUCUCAGUCACAAGCUUUCAGUUUGUUCUCCUCCCUUCAACUUGAGGGGGUGUGUUAAAGAUAGUGAAGGACCAGCUAUUAAUCAUGUACACAAUACAUUAGAAUAAUACUCUCAGAUACUUAGCUUAGCUGUUAAGUUUUGGCUUGUUAGAAUUAGUUGUGUAAAAUGCUUAGUCAGCAUUAUUAUGUAUUUUAUGUGUAUAUAUAUACACUGUGUACUUUGUAACUGAUGUAAUGAGAAAACCAUUUUACAACAAAUCCAAUCUCUCUCUAGAUAUUCUCUCUCUCUAAUUUCUCUCUAGAAUCUUGAGUUUCUCCAGAUCCCUAAUCUUCAACACGAGCAUGCAAAUACCAGAAACUGCGUUGGGAAUUAGCAACAGAAAGAUUAAUUAAACAUUUCUUGGUCUAUUUAUUCUAAUUAAGAUGUUACAGCCAAAUAUUACCUUGGGGCUUUGUCCAUUGGCAAGCUCCUUGUAGUAAUCUGGGUAUUUUCUGUAAGAUCAGUAGACAUUAUGCUUUCGAAUCUAUUAGAUAUAUAGCAAAUAUGUACGAUAAUUAAUUAUUUUCAUAUAAUAAUAAAGAAAAUAGUGAUAUUACUCGAAUUUGUUGACCCUGAAGUUGAUGAAGCCAUCUACAAUCCUUUGAACUGGGUCGAAAUGACCAUCUGCAGGUCUUUGCAAUUCAGCCAUCAACUUCUCAAUUUUGGCAGCAACCACAUCGUCCAGCUCUUCCUUCUCACUGCAACCAUGCCAACCAAGAUUAUCAUUAAUUUCAUCGUCCCAUGCAUAUAUUUUAUGCCACCAACAACCCUUUGUAGCCUUUAACAAAAACAAAUUGGAGACUAAUUUUUUUUUCUUGUUAGAUAUAUAGUUUACAUGUUAAAGUAACGUUUAGAAUCGGUCCAUGAACUUUCACCCUAGUUUAUAUUUAGUCCAUGUACUAAAAAUUCGUUAAUUGAAUUUGGUUCUUAAAAUUAACAAAAGAGUAAAUUGUAGUAAUGGUCCCUCAACUUUAAUUCAAUUGGAGCAAUGGUCAUUCAAUUAAAAAUCCAUUACCAUUGGUCCCUCAACUCAUCAAAAUGUGUAGUUAUGAUCAUUUUUAUCAACUUCGUUAAAAUUUUGUCAAAAUAAGUUAUGUUGGAAGGAUCAUUGCUACAAUUGGGGUCCCUCAACUCAUCAAAACGUAUAGCUAUGGUCAUUUUCGUCAACUUCAUCGGAAUUUUGUCAAAAUGAGUUAUGUAUGAAGAACCAUUGCUACAAUUGGGUUAAAGUUGAGGGACCAUUUCUCUAGUUGGAUUAAAGUUGAGGGACCAAUGGUAAUGAAGUUUUAGUUGAGGGACCAUAGCUGCACGUUUUGAUGAGUUGAGGGACCAAUGGUAAUAGAUUUUUAGUUGAGAGAUCGUUGCUAUAAUUUACUCUUAACAAAAAUAUGCACAAUUUUGAGUUCACAGACGAAAUCUAAACUAGGACCAAUUCUAAAUUUUUACUUUUACAUGUUAUAUUGUCAAACAUCAAUAUCUGAUAUUUUCAUAAAGUGGAUGGUUAGACCAAAGAUCAUGGAUGGAGUCAAUAAGUAGGCAAACCUGAGGAGAUUUUUCAGGCGUUGAAUAGCUAAUUGGCUUGCCAUUUUGUCUACUUUCUUUCCUGCAAAUUCAAGAAUCAAGACCUUAUUAGUUUACAUUGAAAUGUAUUAUAUGGGUUCUCCUUAAUCACGACGGCACAAAAAAAAAAAUGUAAAUAAGAAACUGAGAGAGUCCCAAGCGGUGGGAAAGAAGCCAAAAUUAACCCUGAACAAAGUUCAAAACAAAACAAGACCAGGCAAACCAUUUUUUUUCCCUUCUUGGCACCUAUAUUUAUUUUUGUUUUUUGAUUUUCUUUUAAUUUAUUCAACUCAAAGGCCAAAUAAAUAAGGAUUGUAUAUUUGAGUUGUUCCUUUAAGAAUUAACUAGGUUUUUAGUUUUAUAAGCUAUAUUGAAUCAAACUUGAAAUUCCGAGUGCAAGAGUUAAAUUUCUAUGAUCAGUAAUUUUAAUUUAUCUUCAAUUAAAUAAGAGUUUUCAUUGGAAGUACGUUUUUUUUUUUUUUUUUUUUUUUUUUUUUUUUUUUUUUGGAAAACCUCGACGGUACGAGGGUAAUUUUAUUGAUAACGAAAAAACAAGGUACACCUAGUCAGGGGGGGACAUAAACCUUACCCCUCCAAAAAACAGAGAUAACAAAAAGGAAUACACUAGAAAGAAGGGGGGACAUAAACCUUACCCUUCUAGAAACAAAAAAUGAGAAUGAUACAAAGAAAAGAGGGGGGGACAUGAAACCUAACCCCUCUAGAACCAAACAUGAAGGUCUAAACCUGCAAAACAAAUCAAACAACACCAUAAAGAUAGGAGAAAAAAAGGAAAGUGAGACAAACCUGGAUGCCGACAUGCACAUUAAUUUGAGAAGCGGUAACCAGGCAAGCCAACAUAGUCAGAAAACAGAGUAGCACGAACCGCCAUCGGAGGAGAAUCAUGCCAUGUUAAAGAUGGAGAAGACAAGCCCAUGUUAGCAAAAUUGUCCGCAACAAGAUUUCCUUCUCGAUAUAUGUGAGAUGCGUAGAAAGUCAUUUUCCGAAUGCGAUCCAAACAAAUAGACCAUUGCGUAUGAAGAGGCCAAGGAGGAUCAAAAUCAGAUGAUUGAAGAGCAGAAAUAACACUAGAACUAUCACUUUCCAACCAAAGACAGUGCCAACCCCGCUGAUAAGCAAACUCAAUACCAAUAAUAAUUGCUGAUAACUCUGCAAAAAAAGAGUUGCAAUGACCAAUCCGUUGACAGAAACCUCCGAGAAAACGACCAUGGCAAUUCCUGAAAACUCCUCCACAUGCAGCAGGACCGGGAUUUCCUUUAGACAAACCAUCUGUAUUAAGCUUAACCCAAGGAAACGAUCAUUGGAAGUACGUUAAUUAAACUGGUUUGAGCAUUAAGGAAAGAACUAGAACUAAUUAUCCAUAUAUGUAAAUUCUGCCAAAGUUCACAGUACUAAGCACGCGCAUACACACACAUAUGAUAAUAUAGUUUGAGUAGAAACAUAGAAAUUGAUAUUAAUCUCUUGCAUACCCGAAAUAAUCAGAACAUGAUUUAUUCUAUGCCCAAACAAAAACAUACACACACAACCGUACGUACGUUCAAGAUAUUUUCCAAACCUAGCAAUGGAACUAAAGGAGAUCAAAUUGCUUCACACAUGCACAAGCAACAAAUACAAAACGCAGGCACAUAUUUGCAGUGAGGGUUGGAGCUUCUAUUUAUACACCGAGUGAUAGAGACUAGCUCCUUUUUAUUUCUUUCUAUUUCAUUUUUGGGUUGAGACUAACUAUUUAAUCGACAUGUUUUAAUUACUCUCUGAAAUAUUGAUAUUGAUUGAUUGGACAACUAUGAAAGCAUUGGACCAUAUUUAAAUCGUGAUUCGUGACAAUAUAGUAAAAAACGAGAAGGAGCUCUCCACUCCUGGCUCCAAUACCAUAUCUUUAGCAGUUUUUUUUCUAUGAAUUCUUUUAAUAGGGUAAAAUGUAUAUUUUGUUGAGAUUUGACGAUGUGAGGAAAAGUUUGUCUCACAUCGAUGAGGGACAUGUUUUGUUAUGAGUUUAUAUGGUUUUGAACUACUUCUUAUAUGACCAAUUGGUUUUAUGGUGGAACUCUAAUUUUAUCAUGGUAUCAGAACAUAUUGUCCCUCGUGUGAAACCCUAAGGGUCACACGUGUUCAUGCGUCACCCAAUUGUUGUCCACGUGUAGGCUUGAAAAUCGGCCACAUGUGUCCGUGUUGAGAUUUGAUGAUGUGAGGAAAAAAUUGUCCCACAUCGGUGACGGACAUGUCUUGCUAUGAGUUUAUAUGGUCUUGGGUUACUCCUCGUAUGAUCAAUUGGUUUUAUGAUGAAACCCAAUUUCAUCAUAUUUAAGGUGGCGCCAUCCAAUUGUGAAUGUUUCCCAAUUUCUUGCUUUCUUUGUUACAUAUGAAUUAUAAGUUGCAUGUAGUACGUGAUUGAGAAAAAAAAGUUUGUGCAUGCGAAGAAGUUAGUAAUUAAUUAGUGAUUAUGUAGGUUUACUAGCAAGACAAAAUGCGUAACUAGCCGUCUUAGGAAAUUUUUUAAUCUUAAAACUCAUGAAUAUGCCCGCAAGAAAAACGCAUUUCUACUUCUUUAUAGUGGCACGUAAUGACAAUCAUACACUUAUAAUUUCCACUCCUACACACAAGCGCACAAGCUGACUCAUGAAUAUGCCCGCAAGAAAAACACAUUUCUACUUCUUUAGAGCAACUUCAGCGUGGGCUGGUGCUUGGGGGACGGGGGACGAAAUAGGGCUAGAUAGCUCGACCUUGAAGCGUCAGCAUGGGCAGCCCAAGGGAGAGUGGAGGCCCAAGCUCCGGGCAUGUGAGGAAUUGCCAGCCCGAGAGCCCGAGUGGAUGUGACGCUAGGGCUGACGUCAUCCUGGUGUUGGCCCAAUUUUAUAUUUUUUUCUGUCAGGCGCGUGCGACUCAUCCGCGUGUGGGGGCGUGUCCGCAGACAACUUUUCAGAGUAUGGGCUCGCGUUGUAGUCUACCGAUAUUACCGUUGGGAAGCCACGUGGCUUCCCACGGUCCGUUUGAUCUUAACGGCUCUUUAAAUUGAACCGUCUGAUUUGCAACGAUAAUAAAAAUAAAAAAAUCUUAUUUAAUAUCAACCGUUGGAUCUGAGUUCAAAUCCAACGGUUGAUAUUAUUCUGCUUUAUAAAUAAAUAAAUAAAUAAAAGAAAAAAUAGUUUUAAAAUUAAGAAAAGUUACCGUUGUGACAUGUGGCACAAUCUGGAGUGUUGGAAUUCAAUUUUUUUUUUCAAUCCAACUGUAGAGAUUAAUUAGUUCAAUAAAAAUUUAAAAAGAAUGUAAAAAAUCCGAAAAAAAAAACAUUCUCAUUAUCAUCUACCUUACAUCACAAUUUCAUAUUUUCUCAACUACUUUCAAUCAAAUUCCUAUCUUUCUCUCAAAGUUUCAAUCCAACUUUUUUCAACAAAAUGACUACUGAUGCAAGUACAAAUUGGUCACUUCUUGAAGAUGUUGCGUUGUGUACUAGCUGGGUUGAAGUUACUUAUAGUUUGCUUACGGGUAAUGAGAUGCAGUUGCUAGAAAUAUGGAGUCUUAUUCAUACCAAUUAUCUUGAAAAAAUGGGUGAGAAAAGAACCAAAGAAUCGAUGUCAAGUCGUUGGAAAUUACUUAGCCAAUCGUUUAGUACGUGGAGAGACGCAUUGGCACAAGCUAGUACUAAUCUUCGAAGUUGGGAAAAUUAUGCGGAUUAGGUAACAAUAUAUUAUUUAUUUGUUUGUACUAUACCCAAAUUUAUAUUAUAAUUAUUUAUUUGUAUUAUUUAUUUAUUACCUAUUUUCAUUUAUAAUUAUUUGUUUGUUUUAUCUAUUUGUUACCUACUUUCAUUAUAAUUAUUUGUUUGUAUUAUUUAUUUGUUACCUAGUUUCAUUAGAAUUAUUUGUUUGUAUUAUUUAUUUGUUAUCUACUUUCAUUAAAAUUAUUUGUUUGUAUUAUUUAUUUGUUACCUACUUUCAUUAUUUGUUUGUAUUAUUUAUUUGUUACCUACUUUCAUUAUAAUUAUUUGUUUGUAUUAUUUAUUUGUUACCUACUUUCAUUAAAAUUAUUUGUUUGUAUUAUUUAUUUGUUACCUACUUUCAUUAAAAUUAUUUGUUUGUAUUAUUUAUUUGUUACCUACUUUCAUUAUUUGUUUGUAUUAUUUAUUUGUUACCUACUUUCAUUAUAAUUAUUUGUUUGGGCCCAAAAAUACUGUUUUGGGCCGAGUUAGGUCUUUUUCGGCCCAGUGUGGGAUAGGCCGAGGUUAGACUCAUCCUCGGCCCAAAAGUUGUAAACAGGUGUCGUUAGAAGAUGUUCAACCCAUGGGCCGAGUGGUCGAAGUGGGCCAUAUCCUAUCGGAAAGAGGAAUAUGGAUGAAUCCUGUUGUGAGAGGGAGUCUCGACGGGAUCAGGAUGCUGAGAUUGAACACGGUUUGAUAAUGAGUUGUGUUCAAAGUCCUAGUAGGAAUAGGAUUGGUCGAGAUAAAGUUGGAUUAUGAUAAGGAGUUCUAAUCCAGGAUGAAUGAGAUUUAAUACAGGUUGACUGCUAUAUAUAGGGAGAGAAGACAUCGAAACAACCCCCUUCAAUUCAACACACAACUGCCCUACGCAAAUUCUCUCAACAACCUUGAAACUUUUUCCUUUUCUUUUUUCGCCGACACACCUUCAGUUUGGAGAAACAACACUGUGAAGGCAACCGGUGAUAUCUUCAGUCGGUAUAGAUAGCACUGUCACCGUAGAACCAGUCGGUUUCGCAGCAUCUUCAGUCGGCAUAGAUAGCACUGCGUCGAGGGUGACUGGUUAUCUAUCCAAGUCUCGGUCGAAAAAGAUUUCCGAAUCCUUAUUGGUUGAGGUCAUCUCAUUAGCUUUCUCGGCGAAGUGAGGUGUUACAGUUUAUUAGGCUCGGCACAUUGCAUGCCGAGUUAGUUUAUGAUUGGAUACUCUCAAGUGAGAUUUAGAGUUCGGUAUUCCGACGGCCGAACCACGUUUAUUGUUAAGACAUAUAUCCGCUUUGAGUAUUUGUGCCCUUACACUUUGGUGUCGAUUCGGCGUGAGUUUACUCUGACGAAUACCAUCACUGUGACCAAAUCCGACGACGAAGAUUUGUGAACUUCGUAAGAAUAGUAGCCUUGUCUUCAGGUUUGAGAACCCAAGAGGUCGAGACUUGUUCAUUCCUCGGUCGCAAUCGCAAGACGUAGAAGUCGGCCGCGCACUUAACACAACAUCAGCAUAUUUUACUCCUCGGGCGAGCUUGGCUGACGAGUUGGCACGCCCUGCAUUCAAUCGAAUGACGUAGUUAGCUCAUAGUUUACUCGGCAUGCGCGCCACGUAGGCUUGGUAGUUUUUAGGGUCAACAAUUAUUUAUUUUUUACCUACUUUCAUUAUAAUUAUUUCUUCUCCCACAUUAUGUAGCAACUUCAAGCACAAGCUUGGUAUGGUGCCAAAACUAAAAGCAAAAAUAAAUCAUUCAACCGGUGGGAAUGUUGGAAUAUUGUAAAAGAUUAUCCUAAAUUCAGAGUUGUGCCUGUCGGUCCAGAAGUUUUCAUGAACAACACUCAUCUACACUCUACACCUGAUCAUGGCUCGCAUGUUCAUGAAGAUGAUGCAGAAGAAGUGCCUAAAACGCCCUUCCUUGAACAAGCUUCGGGGUCGACCCGUUAUCCAAUUAGGCCUCAAGGUAAGAAGGCUUCAAAGAGAAAAGGGAGUACUUUCAAGAAUGAUUAUGCAAAGUAUAUGGAAGAACUUGCUCGCCAAGGUGAAUUGACUUUGGCACUAGAAAUGGUGAAAUUUGAGGCUAAUAAGGCUAAAGAUGAGGCAAAAGCUGCAGUUGUUGAGAGAAAAUUUCAAGCUAAUGAAAGGGAAAAAGAGCUACUUAGGCAAGAAAGGGUACUGGUUAGAGAAGAAAGAAUGACUUAACGAGAUCGUGACAUCAUGAACACGCCUUUACAAGGGAAGUCUCCAAAUUCUAAAUAUUUUUGGAAGUCAGAGAAAGAGGAUGUGGUGCGAAGAAGGCGUGCAAGAGAAGCAAGAGUAAGAGGAUAUGGUCCUAGCACGACAAGAGCAAAUCAUCCUAGCACCACAAAUUGAUUAAGUGAUAAUGAAUAGAGUACUUUUUGUAAUCGGAGCCCAUAAUUUUCCAAUCACUUUGGGUUGUAAUUUAUUAUUUAUUGAAUAGUGUACUUUAUGUUGUUUCCAAUUUAUUGAAUUUAACACUUUAUUUAUAGUGAGAGUAAAUUUAUUUAAUUUGGUAAGUUAUUUAUACUAUAUAAGAGAAUAUUUAUUCAAAUGACAAAAACACACCAAAUAAAAUUACAUAAACAUACCAAAUAAUUAAAAACUCACUAAAAAUGAACUAAAAAAAAACACACCAAAUAAUUAAAAAUGAACUAAAAAUGAACUAAAAAAACACACCAAAUAAAAUUAAAUAAACACACCAAAUAAAAACAAAUACACUAGAUGAACUUAUUUAUCUUCAACUUGUUUCAAUGCCCACUGGUGCUCUAUCAAGUCAUUUUGUCGGGCAUUGUGCAUAUAUGGCCUUUGAAGUGCAGUAUAUUGUUGAAUGACCAUUUCAUUGUAAUGUCCAUCCCUUUCUAAUGGCUCAUGUUGCAUGAAUUCUUCAAUGGCAUCAUGAGCAUAAUACAUACGUGUUCUUGACUUGUUCAUUGUGUUUGGCUCAUAUUCAUCAACGGCAUCAUAAUCGUACUCAUCCUCCACAAUCAUGUUGUGAAGAAUGAUGCACGUCAUCAUGAUGGAUCAAAGCGACUCUACAUCAAACAAUCUAGCAGCACCCCUGAUGAUCGCCCAAUGAGCUUGGAGGAUACCAAAACAACGCUCCACAUCCUUCAUGCACCCCUCUUGAUAGCUUGCAAAGUGUUUUUCCUUUGCACUUCGCAGACGUGGCACUAUUUUGGAAAAUGUUGACCACCUUGGGUAAAUGCCAUCUGCUAGGUAGUAUGGCCCAUCGUACAUACGUUCGUUGACGCAGUACGUGACUUUUGGUGCCUUUCCUUGCAGGACAUCGUUGAACACUAGGGUUUGGGCAAUGAUGUUGAGGUCAUUUUGAGGAUGGAUGAUGGAUUAUAUGGAUGAUUCAGAGGAUGGAUUAUAGGUGUGAGAUUUCAGAGGAUGGAUGAUGGAUUAUAUGGAGGAUUCAGAAAUGAUUAGGUUGUAGAUAGUGUCACGUGGCAUGCCAUCAUUCGUUAAAAAUAUGAUCGAAAUCUAUCUUAAAAGAUUUUGAAAAAGGUAAGGACAUGUGGCACGACGAGAUUGGAUAAAAAUCUUAUCGAAAUCCAUCAUCAAUAAUUGUCUUUUCGGGUAAUGACACGUGGCGCAACGAGAACGAUUAAAAAUCUAAUCGAAAUCUAUCCUCAAAGAUUCUAAAAAGGUAAGAACACAUGACAUGACGACAUUGGAUAAAAAUCUUAUCGAAAUCCAUCACAAAUAAUUGUCUUUUCGAAUAAUGACACGUGAUGCAACGAGAAUGAUUAAAAAUCUUAUUCGAAAUUACAAAUAAAAAAUUAUUUUGUAUUAUUUAAAAAAAAAUAUUUUAUUGCCUAUUGCCAGGGCUAUUCAAGUGCAACGGUGGAGAUGUAAAAAACAGUUACUGUUCAUUAAGGGCGGUUACUGUUCACAUGGUGGAUUGAAAAGUGAAUAGCCUGGGGGGAGGGCUCCCACGCUGGAGUUGCUCUUAUAGUGUUAUGUAUGGACAAUCAUACACUAUAAUUUCCAUUCCUACACGCAAGAGCACAAGCUGGCGGCAGGCUAGCUAACUGAGUACGUAACUCUGAGUAACGUUGUAUUAACCAUAUUUUUUCAGUAUUCGGAUUCUCGCCUGAUCCUCAUUGUGAUAUUCUUGAAAUCUGUUAAUUGCGUUUGUUUAUCGUAUAUAGUCCGAUCAAAAAUCAUUUUAAAUAUUUUAUUUAAAAUUAAGCACAAACAGUACCUGAUAAAAAUUGACCGCAUGAUGUACGAUGAAUGAUUACGAUUUACGGAUCCCCAGGAUCCUCACCAAAAGGAUCUAGCGAGGAUCCUGUUGGAUUUUUUCAUACUAUAUUUGCAUCGUAUUUAUAAUAGAGUAGGAGCCACCAACAUAUGUGGGUUCCAUCUCUAUUAGAAAGAUGUUACAAACAUGGUAAAAUAAGGAAAACUAAUGAAAAAAGCUUGAAAAUUUUAAGUUUUAACGAUAAAGACAAAAUAAAGGGUAAAGUAAAUAGUAUCAUAAUUGACUUUUUAGUGUAAAAAUAUGGUUUUUUUUUUAUUAAAGUAAACAAUACCGGGAGCUUUUCGUUAAAGUUUCUUAAAAAAUAUGAUAAGAGUAACAUUUUUGCAUUCAAAGUGUUGAUUUAAGAAAUUGAUGAAUUUUUCAGCUAUGAAAAGAAAUUUAAUAUGCAAAUUUUUUUGACAGUAGGCUUUUUCAUAGUACCAAUGACAUUGAAUGAAUCGUUAACCGGAAAAUUAAGAAAAUAAAAUAUAAUAUACGAGCGUAUGGUUUCAUUUUUAAUAAACACCGAUACAUUUUGUCAUAAAAUUCAAUACCUAGCAAUAAUUGAUUAAGUUAGGAAAAUAUCGGUAUAGUUAGGAGAGGUUCAUAUAUAUAUAUAUAUAUAUAUAUAUAGAGAGAGAGAGAGAGAGAGAGAGAGAGAGAGAGAGAGAGAGAGAGAGAGAGAGAGAGAGAGAGAGUUCUCAAAUUCCUUGCGAGAUUAUAUUCAAGAACUCUGGCUAAUACAAAUUCCUUGUGUCAUCCUCAGCUGAAUCAAAUGAAUACAUUGUCUCUUCUAAAGGAAGAAAUACAGUAAGAACCAAAUAAUAGUGUUACAGAACAAACUAAACAAUUAAUCUAUGACAUUACGCUGAAGACUAAGAAUACAUAUCCAUCAUCUUUUCGUUACAGUACCACAUAUCCGAAUCACUUCUAUCAAAUCUAUUUGAAUAGUUUAUCUUAUUAAAAAUUGCUAAAGAUGAGUUCAUAGGGUGUAUGGCUUCGUAGCAUAAUAUCUACUUUUUUCUUUGACAUAUAGGUCACACUUUCCCAUUCCACAUGAAACUGUUGUGUCAAUUCAAAUUUACCACAACAUUAAUGCUUGUUUCCAUAGCUGCAAAAGAAGUGUUUGAAAUGAAAAUAUGAGUUGAAGUGUAAAUUGUUUGUAGUAUUUAAAAUACAUACAUACAUUGCCAAAAAGUAAGAAAAAAAAAAGUCAUAUCCAAUUAGAUUGACCAGAAGCUCAAUCAAAGAUAAUAUCAAAUAUAAAACCCGUUACUUUGCAUUUCGUUGACAUUUGGAGUUGUUUAAAUUAGUUUUUGUUACCAAAAUCUAAACAAUAGAAAGAAGAACCUCUUCGAAGAAGAAUUUACAGUAACUACAACUAUAAUGCUUUUGUCUACAAUAAUAUUAACACAAUAAAUAAAAAAGAGUUCUCAAAUGUACAUAAUCUUUACUCUGUUUUUUCAAAUUCUAAAGCAUGAUAUGGUAUCUACCAAAUGGAAAUAAUAAAGGGAAGAAGAACCUUAAGAGUAUAUGAAUGGACAAUCUUUUCCUAUAUGGAGGAGGAAUUAAACUCAAUUAACCGAAAGGAAAAAAAAAACAAAAGCUAAAAGUGGAUGAUCCUGCAAUUGAAAAACCCAAAUGUGCAGUAAAAACAACCAAGAGAAAACAGAAGCUAAAAGAAAUCACAUUAAAAAAAAAUCAAUUGAAAUGAAGCAAUCACACUUGAUCGACCAUAAAGUGACGUACAAAUGCCAAUUGCCAAUUGCCAAAAAAAAUAAGAAACCAUUUUGAAAUUAAGCAGACAUUGUUGUAAUAAGAAAAAACCUCAAAUGUGCAGUAUAAUUGAAAUUAACUCCAUUUGGAGGGAAUUAAAGAAUGCUAGAACCACAAUAACUUCAUAUUACAUUAAACAUUUUGGCUAAUAUGUUAUAAGCACAACCAACUCAUCCAUAUUAAGAAGCCAACAAAAAUAGAAACCAACUUGUGAACGAAAGGAAAGAUGUGAACAGAAAAUAAAUUCAACAAAACUGGAAAAAUGAAGAGAAGAAAUUCCACUUAAGAAAGGUGGUCAGGGAAAAAAACAAAAAUGAAUCAAAAGUAGAAGAAAUUCCACGACCGACCUGCGUAUUUAUCCUAUACAACAGUCGUUGUCAAACUCUUCAGUCGAAGCUCUACACAUUGCUUAUAUCUGUGAGCAAGAUUUUAAAAAACGUUAGGUACUAGUCGGGCGGCGGGCUAGCGCCUAGCGCCUAAGCAGUUAGACGGGGUCUAGGAGAGCACAUAGGUGGAUUUAGGUAAAUUUCAUGUAUAUCUUGUAGACAAGUGCAUAUUAACACUUACAAAAAAUUAUACUUGUAUAUUAUACUUGUAUGAAAUCAAUGGAUAAGAUGAUAAAAGAAUAAUAAAAUGCAAAAAGAGUAUCCAACAAGUUCAAAAUUUAAAAACACAUUAAGCAUAUAUGCCACAUAAUCAUUGUGAGGAGUAUUGUAGAAUGACACAUGUACAAUAAGUUCAUAAUUUAAAACCACAUAAAAUGCAAAAUAGGAGGAAAAUAAGGAAAUAUAGUAAUGUAGAUAGAUAAGAUUUUUUUUUAUUUUUUAAUUUCAAAAAAAAAAAAAACUGCCUAGCCACCUAGCAUCACCUAGCCCGCCUAAAGCCCAACCGAUUUUUCCAACCGAUUUGCAAGAAAACGCCUCGGGUCACCACCGGCUAGCGCCGUUUUUAGAACAUUGUCUGUGAGAUGAAUACGACAAACAUUUGAGGUUGAAUUAGUGAAUUUCAAAUACACUGGAAAAGAGAAUGCAAACCACAUCUUGAUGAACAAAAUUAGAGAAAAUGGCGAAUAAAAAACAGAAAGGGAAAUCGAUUAGGUACUCAUAAUUAAAGAAAGAUUAGAAAUUUCAUUAAAAUAAAAAGAAGAAUUGAAAGCAAAAUCAAAUGUAGAAGAAAAUUCCAUUAAUUGAUACAACAUUCACGAUUUGUCCAGAUUCUUACAGCCUUACAUGAAGCUUUGCACUGUGCAAUUUUUUUACCUGAAGCAGCAAAAGGCCCACUCCUCACAUCAUGAUCUGCCACAAUUUAAAGAAGUCGAAGUAGUAGAAAGUCUUUGGCAUAACAAAACUGAAAGCAUAAAGCAUAAACCCAAUAAGAGUCAUAAACUAAUGAAGAAAGAAUUUGAAAAUUUUCAUACUACUAACCCUGUUAAAGGAAAGUAUAUUUGGUUAAACAUGAUUGUAGGGAUUGUAAAUAGUCAAUGAUCUGGUUAGAGCUAUCAUAGGACCAGAUUGCAAUCAACUUGUAAUUAGAGAUUGGUUACCUAGAAUAGGCUGCAUCUGACUGUAUAAAGCUUGUAUCCUUGUAUGAAUGAAUAUACUGAAAAAUAAACCAUUCAGCAAACACUUCAAUUUUCACAUGGCAUCAAAGCACCGAUCCUGGUGACUCUAGGCGUCCAUUCCACUUCCGCUACAAACACAGCCCAAAAUUUUCCCAACACACACAACCAACAUGGCUGAUGAAAAACCAGCAGAGAUAGUGCCACAUGCAUCCGACCCUCUCAUCCUACACCACUCAGAUUCACCAAGUCUCGUCUUGGUUUCACAACUCCUCGACGGACACAACUACGGACAAUGGAGCCGCUCUAUGCGCAUCGCUCUCAGUGCCAAGAACAAACUUGGGUUCAUUGAUGGAUCAAUCAAGUGCCUUGCAAUUACCGACGCCAAAUUUUCAAUUUGGCAGAGAUGCAACGACAUGGUCUUGUCAUGGAUUUGGUAGUCUGUGCAAGGCAACAUCGGACGCAGCAUACUCUACUGCAAAUCUGCAUCUGCAACGUGGAAGGAUCUUGAGGAUUGAUUAUCGCAAGGAAACGAUUCCAGGAUCUACCAAAUUCGACAGGAAAUCGUCGAACACCGACAAGGACAACCAUCCGUUUGAGACUAUUACACCCAGUUAAGGGCUUUUUGGGAUGAAUUGGCUUCGUAUUAUGAACCAAUUGCUUGCGAUUGUGAGGGAUCCAAGACUCGUGUAGCAAGGGAGGAAACAGAGAAAGUCAUGCAAUUUUUAAUGGGCUUGAACGAGACUUACUCAACCAUACGAGGCUCCAUCUUAAUGAUGAAUCUGCUCCCUAAUACGAGACGUGUCUAUAGGUUGGUUCUGCAACACGAGCGCCAAAUGGAUGUGGCAAAUCAUCAUGAACCUGCUGCCCACGUGAUGCAUACACAUCGGUCCACCACGCCAAAGGGAGGAUCUGCACCUGGUAGUUCCAGUUCACGCAAAGCAUCCAAAUGCAGCUACUGUGAUGGCUCACAUUCCGAGGAGCACUGCUACUUUCUUAUUGGGUUCCCCGAAGGACAUAAGUGGCAUGGGAAACAUGUACUGCCCAGAAACAAACGCCAAAAUCCGACAGCCCACAAUGUCGAAACACCUCAAUCACAAACCACCCAUACAGACGCAACCAAGGCCACAUCUUCCAAUGGCCCAACGUUCACAACCGAAGAGUACCAUCAACUUCUUACCUUGCUUCGCUCUGGAAACGGUAAAAUUACACCACUUGCGAAUGCAACAGGUAUUGUCACACCCAUAUGUAAUAUGACGGAACAUGACUUGCAUUCAACCCUUUACUGGAUUAUAGACAGCGGGGCAUCUGAUCACAUAUCACAUUCACCAUUAACACAUAAUCAGAUUGAUGUUGAAAAUGAUUUUGUGGGAUUACCAAAUGGGGGAACAGCAGACAUUAAGAGCAUUGGAUCCGUAAAACUAUCACAUGAGUUAUUACUUGAUGGAGUUCUACAUGUUCCAAUAUUCCGUGUCAAUUUAUUGUCUGUGAGUAAACUCACACGGGCUCUACAAUGUAUCGUAAUAUUCUUUCCGGAUUUUUAUGUUAUACAGGACAUGGAUACGAAGAGGACGAUUAGCUUAGGCAAGCAAUUUAAUGGGCUCUAUUACCUUACGCCAAGUCAAAAUCCCCAUCUUACCAACCAUGUUAGCCGCACCACCAGUCUCUGGCAUCAACGCUUGGGCUACCCCUCUACACACCCUUUACAUUUUUUGUCAAAAACAUUCCAGAAAUAAUGUUCGAUUCCAAACAUGUUUGUGAAGUUUGCCAUUUGGCAAAACAAACUCGAUUGUCUUUUACUUCUAGUUCAAUUCAAUCCACUGCACCUUUCGACUUAAUUCAUUGUGACAUUUGGGGGCCUCACAAAGUUCCCACACAUUCCGGGACACGUUAUUUUCUCACCAUCGUGGAUGAUUUACUCAUUUUACAUGGGUGCAUCUUAUGCGUUUUAAAUCCGAUACACAAACACUAUUGACAUCAUUCUUCUCUUGGGUCAAAACUCAAUUUCACAAAAACAUCAAAAUUCUACGAGCUGACAAUGGUGGAGAGUUCCUCUCCAUGCGCACUGUUUUAGACACCCAUGGCACCAUUUUUCAGCAUUCAUGCGUUCACACCCCUCAACAAAACGGGGUUGUUGAACGUAAACAUCGACAUCUUUUGAAUAUUGGGGGUGCACUUCGUUUCCAAGCCAAUUUACCAUUAAAAUUUUGGGGAGAUAGUGUUCAAACCGCAUGCUAUCUCAUCAACCACAUUCCCACACCAUUAUUAUCCCAUAAAUCUCCCUACGAAUUUUUACAUGGUCACUUGCCCAAUUACUCUCACCUUCGCGUGUUCAGAUGUCUUUGUUAUGCCACCAACCUUCACCCAAAACACAAGUUUGACACUCGUGCUCGCCGUUGUCUUUUCCUUGGAUAUCCUCUUGGUCAGAAAGGUUAUCGUGUUUAUGACCUCGACACGCAUACCAUCUCCACUUCCCGUGAUGUCCACUUCCAUGAAACAAUUUUUCACUUUGCCCAUUCACCACCUGAACAUGAGGAUGACUCCCUCGUUCUUCCACUUAUUUUUCCAGACUCAUUACCCACUCUGCCCAGUACACCAUCUCCCGACCCACACCAUCCUAGCCCAAACCCAGAUGCCUUGAACCACAACACUACCCAACCUCCCACUUUCCCAUCCCCAAUUCCCGACAACACUCCCCAAUUCCAGACAACUUUCCCAUCCCCACCAGAGACCGCUCCGAUCUCACCCACUACUGCCACCCAUUCUCUCGCCUUACCUGACCCCCCACCUGCACCGUCUCCACAACCUCCCAUUCGACACUCUUCUCGCCUGACCCGACCCCAUGCCUAUCUCAAAGAUUAUGUGGCCCAUCAUGCUGCUUUGUUUGCGCCUGGCGUCGCCUCUUCCUCCGUGUCCAGCACCCGUCAUCCAUUCCACCGGUAUGUCUUUUAUGCCUCCUUAUCUCCUACUCAUCAAACUUUCAUCCAUAAUGUUUCUUCUCAGAUGGAACCCACAUCCUAUGACCAAGCCCGCCAUGACCCUAACUGGGUCGCUGCUAUGAACACUGAACUCCGAGCUCUCGAAGACAAUCAGAUAUGGAGCAUGGUCUCUUUGCCUGCUGGUCAUCAUGCCAUUGGAUGCAAGUGGGUUUUCAAAAUCAAAUACAAUUCGGAUGGUACAAUUGAGCGGUACAAAGCCCGACUCGUUACCAAUGGUUUUACUCAACGCGAGGGGAUCGAUUACAAGGAAACUUUUGCCCCUGUUGCUAAGCUGAUCACUGUGCGAUGCUUAUUGACUGUUGCUGCUGUUCGUCAUUGGUCCUUACAUCAGAUGGAUGUGCAGAACGCAUUCCUUCGCGAUGAACUUCACAAAGAAGUGUAUAUGUUGCCUCCUCCUGGUUACCGUUGAUAGGGGGAGCGUGUUGUAUGUCAACUCCAAAAGUCUUUGUACGGACUUAAGCAAGCGUCCCGCAGUUGGUUUCAGAAAUUUUCCUCUGCCAUCCAUGACAUUGGAUUCACACAAUCUCGGGCUGAUUAUUCCUUGUUUACCAAGGUCUCUGGCAGCUCCAUUACCAUUGUUUUAUUAUAUGUUGAUGACAUGGUUAUUACAGGAAAUAAUGAUAGAGCAAUCAAUGAUCUCAAGCAAUUCCUUAGCCGCUGCUUUCGAAUUAAAGACCUUGGACCCCUAAAGUACUUUCUUGGAGUUGAAGUCGCACGGUCCAAAGCUAGCAUUACCAUCAAUCAGCGCAAGUACACACUUGACAUACUGGAAAAGGCGGGUUUACUUGGUGCGAAGCCAUCACAGGUCCCAAUGGAACCUGACUUAGUGCUACAACCCACUGGUAGUGAUCCUCUCAAAGAUCCUACGCAAUACCGACGAAUGUUUGGGAAAUUAAUAUACUUGACAAUCACAAGACCGGAGAUCAUAUAUGCGGUCAACACCCUGAGUCAAUUUAUGCAGGAACCUAGGCGACAUCAUCUUGACGCAGCACAUAGACUUCUUCGAUACCUUAAAAAUGCUCCUGGACAAGGUUUGUUGUUUUCUUCUCAAAGUAAGCUAAACUUGAUUGGCUAUUGUGAUGCGGAUUAGGCACGUUGUCCGAUUACUCGCCGUUCAGUUACAGAUUAUUGCAUUUUUCUGGGCAACUCACUCAUAUCUUGGAAGAGCAAGAAACAGGUCACGGUAGCACGAUCAUCUGCCGAAGCAGAGUACCGUUCCAUGGCUGCAGCAACUUGUGAACUCACGUGGUUGAGAUACUUAUUGAAGGAUUUGCAAAUACCCCAUCCUGGUUCGGCGAAGCUGUUUUGUGAUAAUCAAGCUGCGUUACACGUAGCAGUGAAUCAUGUGAUCCACGAGCACACCAAACACAUUGAGCUUGAUUGCCACACCAUUCGUGAGAGGAUUCAAAGAGGAGAAAUCAAGACAGCCUAUGUACACACUGGGGAACAAGUGGCUGACAUGUUUACUAAGCCACUAUGAACACCUGCUUUCCAUUUACAUCUCCGCAAGUUAGGCGUUCUUGACAUCCACACUCCAACUUGAGGGAGAGUGUUAAAGGAAAGUAUAUUUGGUUAAACAUGAUUGUAGGGAUUGUAAAUAGUCAAUGAUCUGGUUAGAGCUAUCAUAGGACCAGAUUGCAAUCAACUUGUAAUUAGAGAUUGGUUACCUAGAAUAGGCUGCAUCUGACUGUAUAAAGCUUGUAUCCUUGUAUGAAUGAAUAUACUGAAAAAUAAACCAUUCAGCGAACACUUCAAUUUUCACACUACAAUAUUGUCUCGCCCAGACAACACACAUCACAUCUAUCUCCACCGCCUGCACCGGUACCAAUGAUUUGAAACCUAAUGGAAAAAGCACGACAAAUAAUUGGAAAAUGGAUUAAUAUAAACAAAAACUCCCCAGAACCAACAGUUUCCUUGUAAGCAUAAGAACCUCACCAACGGGCUUCAUUGGAAUGUAACGAAUGCAGAGGGAAACAUAAAAACACUUACAUGGAGAAGAAACAAAUCCAAGUUUUUCACUCAAAAGAAAAUAACCAACAAUCAUACAUGAAAAUAGAAGGAAAAAUGAAUUUGGUUAAGGGUGGACAACAUCUGGAAAAGAAUGCAAAGAUCAUGGAGAAUCCGAGAUUGAAAAUUACCUGCGAUAAGAAUCAGUCAAUGUAGAGGAAGAGUCUUUGUCAAUAUAUCUAUCUGUCUGUUUCUCCCUCCCCCUCGUUGUCUUCUCCUUGAUUUCUGCACGACUACAAAUAAACUGCCAACAUUAAUAUGAAACUAAACUUACCCAAUGAAAUUUGAACACAAUGGAUUACUUCUCCAGUAAAGUUCAUUUCCAAUUCCUACUGCUUUGAGAGGAUUUUUCUAAAAAUUUGGAAUCUCUAAUAACUGAAGAAUCGCACUAUGCAAAACCCAAGUCGUUUAUUAGGACGAAGAAUCGCAAAAGCCCCGGAAUUUGAAAUCUCAUACUUCAUUUGUGGUUUUUUCUAAUUGAAAACCCAACAAUAAUAAUCCAAUCGAAAUUGAUUGUAAAGACAAAAAGCGAAGGAAUUUAGGAAAAAACACCUGAAAUCUUGUCAAAAUCAAGUGUGGAUGUCGACAGAAAUUUGGAAUAACAUGAAGAGGGGUCUGUGCGGAAGACGAAAGUGGGUUCGUUUCUUCCGAUGUAUGACAUGUUGUUCACUGUAGAACGUGUAGUAGAUGGCGGUUCCAUUCCAUCUCCUCUGGUGUUUACAACCGCUGCGGUUAGAUAUGGUGUUCGAGAGUUCUACCGAGUUUUUAUUUAUUUUUUAUUUUUUAUUUUACGUUUAUUUCUCUCGGAAAGAUAGGACACAAUGUAGUAUUUGUGGGAGGAUUAAUCCAAGGGUCAAAAUGAAUUUGAAGUGCAAGUAUUUUCAUCCGUCGGUUGUCAAUUGUUAUAGUUAAGAUGGGUGUUUUUUAAAUUUGCUUUUUUUAGUAAAACAAUUUUGUACUCUGUUAUGUUUUUUUCCAGUUUAUCCUCAUUUUUUGAAAUGUUUUGGGCUUGGUUGUGAAGAAAACAAAGGGGCUUUCUUGGCAUUUUGAAAUGCUUCACCUAUUUGGCCUUCUCCCUUUAUAUACACUAGCCUCUCCGCAUGUACUAACGUGCGUGCAAGAGGCAUUUUUACAUUACAGGCGCUACGCAUCCCUAAAGGUGUAUUGCGUUAGUUUUUCCCAUCGUAAUUGUCAAGAUAUAUUUUAAAUGUAUUAUGCAAAGAGAAACUCUUUUUUUUAUCAUGCAUAUUCUAAAAAGAGUAAUAUAUGUAACUCGUUUUUACUUUGCGUAAAGUAAUGAUUUAAAUGUUAUUCAUGCACUUGUCAAACAACAUGGGAUUUUAGACGCAAGUUCCUACCUAAAGUAGAAGUAAAUAAAAAAAAGAGUAGAUGAAAACAUUAAGUACUCGUAGCAAAAUACAAAACAACUUAAAUGUCAAAAUAUAAAUCCUGCAUAACAAUAUGUACAUUAUUCACAAUACCCAUAGAGUCUAUAUAUCACUGUUUCUUUUGAAAAGAAAGUUUACAUUUUGAUAUCAAUGCUACAAUUUCCACACAUUUGUUCAUGAUUGAUGCUUCAAAUUUUCAUUGCCAAUCUACAAAUGAUAGUGAGAAAAUUAAAAAUCAAAUAAAAAAAGUUAAUUGAUAAGUGAGAAAUGCAUAUUGAAAGGUUAUCGUUAAUAAAGUUGUUACCUAUUAAAAAUCACCAUAAUUAGCUGGAAAGAAGCAAGACUUCUUUGUAUACUACAUUCUGUGUAAAUACACAUUGUUGGCCGAUUAUGGAGCCAUUUUUUACUAACAUGGUUGUGGUUGACUUUGAGACCCCCCUCGAUAAGGCCACAUAUCAUUGUUCAUGACUGAAGACGUGAUCUGGAAGGUAAACGCCUACAUGUGGUAUUGUCUGACCUUGAGAUUUGUUUAUAGUGAUAGAGAAACUUAGUUUCACUAGAAACUGCUUUCUUGUAAGUUCAAAUGGAAGCCCAGCAGUAUCAAUACUUUUGAGAGGGAUUCUUGAUAAGAAAACUCUGGAUCCGGCAAAUUGUCCAGUUAGAAUUUCAACAUCUAUAAGAUUUUGGUAAGAACCAUGACACAAUAAUCUUGUACCAUUACACAAUCCCAAUGAUUGUGUAAAAGCAUCAAAAGUUUUGUUAGUAACAUGAAUUGUAUGUGUUUUCUAAAACUCAGAUUUACGAAAAUUGAAAGAGAACGAAAAGUUAAAAUAUAAAUUAGUAAAAGAAAAACAUAUAUGAAACAAAACAGGUAAUCAUGGAGUUGAUGAUUCUAAAAAUGAAAGAAAUGAACCUGGAGAUGCAGAUGAAAACAUAUAAUCAUUCAGUUCAAAAUAUUACAAUUUUGAGUCAUCAAAGAAACAAAGUGAAAUAGCACAUUGCCAUUUCGGUUCUUUGAUUAAGUGUAAUAUUCGGCUUCUCAAGUAUCUUACAACUAAGCAAAAAAAAUGCGCUUCCUAGUUUCACAAACUAAAAUGCAUCUAAUAACUUAUCAUAAAGGAUGAAGUAGCAACCUGAUCAAAUAGAAUGAUCGGCAAAACUCGGGAUUGAAGAAUCUUUAAUUAUUUUGAAUACUUGGUGAAGUUCCUCCACAUGAACCCCAUGAAGAAAAACUACAGGCUGCAAGAUAAGAUUCAAACCAUAUUAUAUAAAAAAACCAGUAAAAAAUUCCCAACAUUUGACUCAAAAUUGAAAGGAAAAAAGAUGAAAUUCUAUGCAUUUAGCAGAUAAUUGAUAAAUCAAACUCUGCAACUGAAACGUUGACAAUGGCUUCAAAAUUAACUGAAUAUCUAAAACAACUUGUAAUCCUAAUUAUAUGGAAGAGGGUAGAGAAAAGCUAAGUGCUUCAACCCCAGGUUAUGAUGCUUUGCAGACAACUUACAUCAACCUUUGAAUUUCUUCCUCAAUUAGCUAGCUCUUGAAUGCACCAAUAACAUAUGCAAUUGGAACUUGGAUUACAUAGCUCUCAAUUCCAUUGACUUCAUCUAUUAAUUUUUAGAGGGUUACCUAUAGUUUUUUCAAUGACAAUGACAUGGUUUACGCAUGAACAUGGUUUUUUCUUAUUUGUUUAUCUAUUUCACACUUGAAUCAAUAAAAUUUUGCUAGUGCAAUCAUACGGCAUUCACAACGAUCAUACUAUUGAUUUGUAAUUUCUCUGAUAAUUACAUCCCCGAUCAAGCAGGCUAACUGUCAAGCGUAAUUAAAAAAGUAGCAACAGCCCUAAUAAAAAAAAUAAUUCAAACUCAUCAAACUAUCGAGUUACAUACCUUGCAUCGGAAUCUAGCGUAAAAUUUACCUUUCUAGCAAUAACGAAAUAACUCAGUUAUCAAAUGCAGGACACACUAAAAUGCAUCUAAUAACUUAUCAUAAAGGGUGAAGUAGCAACCUGAUCAAACAGAAUGAUCGGUAAAACUCGGGAUUGAAGAAUCUUUGAUUACUUUGAAUACUUGGUGAAGUUCCUCCUCCUGAACCCCAUGAAGAAAAACAACAGGCUGCAAGAUAAGAUUCAAAACAUAUUAAAUAAAAAACCAGUAAAAAAUUCCCAACCCAACACUGUUAUUAUGGUAAUUUCAACGCAAGCCGCCUUCUCUAGCAGAGUUCAUUUCCAAAUCCCUACGACUUCGAGAGGAUUUAAAAAUUUUGGAAUCUAUAUAAUGAAUAAGCUUGAAGAAAAGCUUCAAAUUUAUAAAAAAAAAACUUUGAAUUCGAACAAAAAAUGCAAAAACUAAGUCGUUUAUUAAGAAGAAGAAUCGCAACUCACAUGGCUGUGGGGAUUUCCAGACAGGUUCCAAUAGAUUGAGUGGAUAUUCGAAACCUUAAGAAACAGGAAACUGUACAGCUCAAUAGUCGGGUAAAGGCUAUGGUUCACCCUGAAAAAUCUUUCUUCGAUUCUAUCGAAUCGCUAGAUAGUUUGGGCUCGCUCUCAAAGGCCACACUUUGCCCGCGCAAAACUAAAUUCCAAAAUUCCUCUUCCCUGCAUUCAGAAACACAUCAUCAAUUAAUUAGAAUUGAAUAUGAACGCAAAUCUAAUUCUGCUUCAUCAAAGCAAAUAAUUCAUACACAAUUGAAAAAUGUGUAUAAAUGGGAAGAGAACGGAAAUUGAAAAUAUGAUCAGAAAUGAAUGAUCGAUGAGAAACAGUUAAUUAAUGGCAAUGAAUUUGAUUUGAAAAGAGACUAAUAAACAUACUGGUAAAGAAGCCGCACUUGUCGUUUAUGGCGAGUGAAAGGUUGUUUCAAGAAGCUGCAGUUGUUGAUCACGGCGAGUAGAGUCAAGUUUGAAAGUUUGAACAAACGUUGGAAGGAAUACAUAGAAAAUUGAGAAUCACGUUUGAAAGUUACCUGCGAUAAGAAUCAAUCGAUGUAGAGGAAGAGUCUUUGUCAAUAUGCAUCUUUAUUUCUCCCUCCCCUUGUUCUCUGUAGAGGAAGAGUCUUUGUCAAUCUGGUUUGUAGUUUGCAGAACGUGGAGGGUGGUUGAAUCCCACGUUGCGGUUCUAAUUCUUCAUUCGGCAAAACUCUACAGUUAUGAUGCUUUAUCUUUUUUCAGUGAUGGUUUUUUACCAGCUUGUCGUAUUAGUUUAACCAUCAGAAUUCAAUUCACACAUUACCCAUAUUUUCAAUGUACAAUCUGCUUACAAAUCAUUACCAAAUACAGUAAAACAGAAACUGGUAAUUGGGUAAUUUUAGUAACUCCUAUAAAUUCUGACCAAUUGCAGAAGUAAUUUUAUAGAAACCAAAUUCCCAGCUAUAGCCUCAAAUGUCUCUCAUUGCAUGCAGCUGACUACCACUGACUCAAAUCACAUAAAUAAAAGAAAUGGAAUCCAGAAAAACCCAUAUGACAACAAUUAAGUUUAAAUAAUAUAAGCAGUGUGGUCGAUUAAGCACUAAUCACUGAGCAAUUUUGAACGCCCAGCAGUCCCAUCCUACGCCAUCAAUGAUUCGAAUUUCCUUAUUAAAUUAUAUAGAAUAAUAAACAAAACAAACGGAAAAGCAAAUUCAUGUGGGUAAUAUUACUUAAUUGGAGGGUAGAAAUUAUGAAAAAAAAAAUCACCUGAAUUUGUGUAAAUUGAGUGUGGAUGCAGAAGAAACUCUGGAAAAACAUGCGGAUGAGAGGUUUGUGCAGAAGACGAAAGUGAGUUCUUCCUCUUUUCUGUGCAUUUGGGGUUAGAAUGAUCGUUGUCCCCUCUAGAACGUGUGGUAGAUUGGCGGUCCUAUCUUCGAUCUUUGCAACUGUUGCAACCGGUGUUCUGUUUUGUGCGACAACGUGUUUGACAGUUCUCCUCUAAUUUGGAGGGAGUGUUUGUCAGUUUUUAUCAAUUUACUUGUUAUUUUGGUUUUGGUGGAAAGAUAGAAUGUGAUGCAGUAUUUGUGGGAGGAUUGAUCUAAGGGUCACAAUGAAUUUCAAGUGUGUAUAUUUUUAUCUAAUGGUUGAAAAUUGUAAUUGUUUAGAUGAGUGCAUAUAUUAUUCGCACAGUAGAAUUUCAUUGUAUUAUAUUACAAUUUUGACUUUAUAUUUAUUGGACAGUUAUCCGUUACUCUUAAGUAUGGACUAAGGAUAUUUUUGGCAUUUUGAAUGUAUAGAUAGAUAGAUAAAGAUCAACGACUGGGUAAAAAUCAGGAAGUGCAUGUGCCCAUUGAAGCUUUUUCUUAUUUUCUUAGGUGAAAUGGAUUUUUUUUCCAGUUUUAUUAUCACAUAUAGGCCGUAUCUCGUAUUUUGUAGGUGAAAAAACUCAUUCUAUUUCAUUAUCCUACAUCACGUGUGAAAUGAGUUCAUUCCUACUUACAUGCGCACUCUUGCAUUUAGGCACUUUUAAGCUUAAAUUCAUUCAUAUUUUCCACCUCAUCACACUUUAUAGGUUCGUCACCUUUCAGAUGCUGGCCAGCACAGCUCGAUUUGGAGUCCAGAUAGACAUUCCGGGUCAGGGUGUGUCAAUUUGAAUAUUAAAAAAUAAGGAAUGUAUUUGAAUAUUUUGAUUCAAUCUGAAACUUGCCUAAAUCUAUUACAUACACUUAAUUAUAUACUUGGUUUUAUUUUAGGAAAAUUUUAUUUGAACUCAUACAACUUCUAACUACAUCCAACUUACUCUGUACGCCCAUAUUAGUUUUAAUUCAAGAAUCAAUAUAUUUUAAAUCCAAAUUUACUAACUACAAUACCCUCACGAACUCAAUUUAAUAUGUAAAUUUGACUUUACACCUAUUUGAAAAAUAAAACCCAAAAUUAAACAUUUGUUGUGUAGGUCAUUAAAGUUAGAAUAUUAAAUUGUAAUUCCUCGAGACAAACCAAAUAUUGAGCCUUAUACAUUUGGAAAGAUCUAGAUGUCUAGUUUAUGGAGAAUUUUAUGGUUUGUGAUUCCGAUUUUUGUAGGAGAUGUUAUUACUAUUUUAGUGCAGACAUCACAAAAUCAAAGAUUUGCUAUGCAGAUCAGGAUAGAGCAUAUUAAUUAUGAGAGUAGAAGCUAUUAUAUAUACACAACAUAAUCCUUGCCUAAUCCUAUUAGGAUUCCCUUAUUAGAAUCCAUAUAGAAAACUAAUUCCUUCCAAAUAGCAGUUUAGUAUAAUAUGGAUUACAAAUCCAUUCCCAAUAAGUUCCCAUUUAAACUCUAAUCCUAUAACCAAGUUCACAAAUUCAUACUUAUGCUCAUUUUCUUACAAGUAAUUCCACAGACCGUGAUCCACCAUAAUCAAAUUUAAUCAAACACUAUGCUAAAUAUAUUAUACACCAAUAAAAAUGAAUUCUACUUCAGAUGAGGACCAAGAAUUUCUCCAAUGGCUAAAACGAAUUUAAUUUAGAAGUAAAAGAUGCAAUUUAAAGGAACAUACACUUAUUUUUCUUUAUGAGAGCUCUUAGGAUUUUAGUCAGGAUGAAUGUAAGAUAAAGAUUGGUGAUGGUGGGAUUUGAUUAUUGGAUAUAUGUUUAUUGAUUUUUUUUUUUUUUGUUAAUUUCAUCAUGUACAUGAUGGUAAUUAUGCAACAAGAUAAAAAAUACAAUUCACAUUUAAAAUUUAAGUUGAGUGUACAAAGAAGUUAAAAUAGGUUCAACUAAAAUUUUCCUUUAUUUUAUAUAUGUUUCAUUUGUUAGUUGUUAUAGAUAAGACUCAAUGAUUCUAACUUUUUUACAAUUGUAUCUCCCUUAAAUAUAUUACAUACAAAAGAGAGAACUAAAGACAUAUAUUAUGUUUGGACACAACCCACAACAAAAGCUGGCUUUCCAAAAGAUAUGUUUGAAAGUUACUUCCUCAACGAAAGAAAUAUACGAGGCCGAAUAUUUUUGAGAAAAGCAAUGAGUUCAUGGUUGUUGAAUCUACGGUCAAGAGACUCUUACAAUGGUGCUAUUACUUGUAAUAAAAGAAGGAAUGCUACAAUAUAUAUAUAUAUAUACUUUGAUCUAAUGAAAAUAUAAAAUAGUCCAUAAUGAUUUUUUUUUUGUUGGUUAAAAUCAUAUAUGUUGUUAAUCACCAAAUCAAUUGAUCUCCUAAGACCAUCUCAAAUGGUGGGCUAAAAUCUAAAAUUUCUCUUCCCCCCCCCCCUCCAAAAUUCACUCCAACUCAUGACCUAAAAUUAACCUAAAACCUAAAACCCAAAUGGAGGGCAAAUACUGGCCCAAUUUUAGGCCACAAAACAAAAUGGACCCCACCAACUGAGACUGAAACCAGGGCUGUGAAGUCCAUUGCCCACUCCCUACUCGCCUAUGCGUUGCACACGCUAGGCUUUCUCAAAAUUUUGUACCAACCCACGUGGGGUUGUUCCCCCACUGUCAAACCAUCAAGUAGCCGUUGGGCUACUUUUCUUCAUCCAACGGUUCCAUUUAAAUGGGCCAUUGGUUAAUCCAACGGUCCAAGUUCAAAUUUUUUUUUAGUUUUAUAUUUAUUGAAUCCAACGGCUUAGAUCGAAUAUAAUCAAAUCUAACGGUAAAAAAAAGAUCUAAGUUUAUGUGGUUUAUUAAAUGUCGUUUGUAUUAAGUUUAUGUGGUUUAUCAUGAUUUUCGUGAUUGAUUUAUUGAUUUUUCAAAAUGUAUCGGAAUUUAAAUAUUUUUAGGUUAAAAUGUUCAUAUAAUUAAUUUAGGAUAGUCUACAUAAUUUUUUUAAAAAGUUAAUUUAAAAAAAAAUAGCCUUAAUUCAUUCUUUGAUAAUCUCGGACUAAAAUUUUAGGCCAGAAGGGCUGGAGCAUGAAAGCUAUUUCUGGGCUAAAACCUAAAUUUUCUGGGCUAAAUAUUUUUAGGUUUUAGGUCACCAUUGAAGAUGGUCUAACUCUUGAUUCUAAUUACUACUCUGAAUAGUAAUUGCCUUAGAUCAAUUUCACCUGUUUAAGGAUUGCCAUGAAAGUUACUAUUCUUAAUAUAUUUUUUUAAAUAUUUAAAUGCAUACUUAAAUAAAAUAAAAUUCCAAAAAUUAUUUAAAAUGAGACAAGUUGGUUUUGUUUGGUAUUUUUGCAGACACAUUCUGCAUACACAUUUUUUUCGUAAAAAAAUGAGACAAAAUCAAAGAUCUAAUAUGAUUAAAAAUUUUACACAUGCCCUCCUAAAUUCGUUACAUUUUUUUAAUUUAAAAUUUGUUUCUUAUCUAAUAUAAUUUAAUUUUUCAAACAUCAUGUUUAUGCUGCUAGUUUUGAUUAAGUAAAGGUAUUUUUUAAAUUAAUGAAAAUUUUGAAAAAGGGGUUAUGUAUAGACCUUAACUUUUUUUUUUGUUGAACUAUAUAGAUGCCUUAUUUUAUUUUAUUUUAUAUUAAGUCUUAUUGUUUAUAGUUGAAUUGACUUCUUUUUUUUCAUAUGAAAAACAAUUCUUAUUUAAAAAAUUUCUCAUUUGUUUUGAUAAAAUUCUUACUUUAUACCUCAACUUACAGUCAACAGAAAGUAUCACAAGUGCAAUACAUGACAUAAAUCGAGAACAUUAUCAACUAUUAUUACAGUUUAGGAACGAAAAUUAAACUGACUAAUGCUACAAUUUAACUUAAAUAUUAUUACUCUAAACUUUUUAUUCGAUACAACGAGAUAUUUACACUAUGGCGGUGCGAGAAUAAAUUGGUUGCGAACUCUUUGUUUCCAAGAUUUGGACUUAAGACUUCUCAAUUAUAAGUGAAAAAGAAUGCUAUUAGACCAUAUUACUAAAUGUCUACUACUGCUCCAAACUUUACUAAUUAAAAUAUGCAAGUUCGAAACUCUAGUUUUGUAGUGGAUGCUUUAGCUCAUUUUAGCAACUCCCUUCCUUCUGAAAGUAUUUGGUUCAAUAGUGUUCAGAUUGGUGUAAGAAAUGCCUUAGAGCAGUUCCACUGGACACAAAAUUGCCCAGCACCCUGUCCCAAAAUCAGCCCAGCACCCUGUCAAUCUGCUCCAGCCCGCAAAACAGCUUGGCACCCAGCCCAAGCCAGGCAAUAGACUAGCCCAUUUCGAAUAGACCCAAAGGCCAGCCUAUUUGGCUAGCGCGUGCAUCACACUUGCGACUGGACGUGAGUAGGAGACAAGGGUGCAGCCGGCGGGGCCCGCUUGUCAGCCCACUUGUGUUCACUCGGAUUAGAGCUACGUGGCCCUUCUCAGUGCCGUUGGAUUUCCAACGGUAAAAAAAAUUUAAAUUUGACUUUUAAAAUGGACCGUCCGAUCAUAGAUCAACGGUCGACGUUUUUUUCACAAAAAAAAGGCCCAAUGGUCAGAAUUAUGACUGUUGGCCACGUGGCAACGCCUUGGCUCUUGGAUUUGCAUAUUUUUCAAAUCCAACGGUCUAGAUUAAUUAACUAUAUUAAAAUUUAUAAAAAAUUAUGAAAAAAAAUAUAGAAAAAUUAUGAAAAAAAAUACAUAAUUUUUUUUUAAAAUACAUAAUUUUUUUUAAAUAUAGAAAUUUUUUUUAAAAAGUUAUUUUUUUUCUUUUAUAAAUACCUAACCCUCAUCUUCCACCUUACACCACAUUUCAAUAUUUUCUACACUUUCUACACUAUCUACAUUUCAAUAUUUUCUACACUUUGAGAGAAAAAAAUGUCUUCGUGGAAGAACAUUAAAGAUGUUACAUUGUGUGAAUGUUGGGUUCACACUACUCAUGACCCAAUUACGGGUAAUGAGAUGGAUAAGUGAGAAAUGUGGAGUAAAAUUACGAAAAUGUUUUGCGAUGUAUAUGGAAAGGACGCCAGAACUAGUCAAGGUCUUCAAGGUCGUUGGAAAAAACUCAACACAUCCUUUACUUGUUGGAAAAACGUCAUCUCGCAUGCUUCCGGUAAUCUGCGUAGUGGGACAAGUUUAGCGGAUCAGGUGAUAAUAUUUUUAUUUAUUUAUAUGCAUUCCACCCGCAUCAAUAUUUUAAUUUAUUUAAUUUCUUAUGUAAUUUAUAUGCAUUCCACCCAUAUUUUUUAAUACUAUCUCAUCCCACAUUUUUACAAACACUACAAGCACAAGCAUUCUACAAUACAAAGAACCAAAACAAAUCAUUCAACAAAUGGGAAUGUUGGUAAAUUGUCAAAGAUUGCCCUAGAUACAAAAUUGUGGCAACCGGUCCAGAAAUUGUCAUACAUGGCAUGGGUCUACAUAGUUCGCCAGAACCAGACACAGCCGAACAAGAAGCCAACACAUUUGAAGACACGGAAGGGAAGCCUGAACAAGUGCCGAAGACCCAACCGACUUGUCAGUCCCUCAGGCUUCAAGGUAAAAAGGCAUCAAAGAAAAAAGGUAGUUCUUCCAAAAAUGACUACACUAAAUAUAUGGAAGAACUUGCUCUCCAAAGUGAACUGAAUAUAACACGGGAAAAGGCUAGAGAUGAGGAAAAAGCUGUUGCUAUGGCAGCAAUAAUAGCAGCUACUGAGGCCCGUGAUGCAGCGGUUGAGAGACAAAGAGAAAUAGUUAAUCGAGAGAAUGAGAUGAUUAGAGAAGCACUUCAUCGAGAAAAUGAGAUGCUUAGAGAAGAAAAGAUGGCUCAAGCAGAUCGUGACAUUAUGAACAAGCCUCUAGUAGGACUGUCUCCGAAUUCAAAAUAUUUUUGGACAUCGGAAAAAAAAGAGGUCGUGCGAAGGAGGUGUGCAAGAGAUGCCGAAACAAGUCGAGGGGGUUCUAGCUACAGAAAUCCUAGCAAAGAAGAUCCUAGCACCACAUAUCCUAGCUCCACAGACUUCGUAUAAUUUCGUAUUUCUUUGUAGUACUUUUUUUUUAAUUUUUAUGUAAUUUUUAAUGUAAUUUCUUAUUUAUUUUUAGAACUUUAUGCAAUUUCAAAUUUAUUUUUUGUACUUUAUUUAAACACAUCAAAUAAGAUUACAUAAACUCACCAAAUAAGAUAACAUUAAACUCACCAAAUAAACUUUAAAAAAAACACCAAAUUAACUUUAAAAAAAACACCAAAUAAAAUUACAUAACCUCACCAUAUAAACUAAAAAAAAAACACACUAAAUAAGAUUACUUAAAAAUCUUAUCCGAAAUUAAAACUAUUUUAUUUAUUUAUUCUUUUAUAAAUUAAAAAAAUAUAUAAAUGGGUUGGGUGCCAGCGCAUUUUUUUAGAGGUGAAGAUGCUUUGGCCUAUUACUGUUCACUGAGGUCUAUUACUGUUUACUUGAGUGGAUAAAUGCGCUGAGUGCUGACGUAAAGUCUUAGGGGUGGAAUUGCUCUUAUACUUUGAUAAUUUUUGUACUGGUUGCCCUAGGUGCUAUGUAAUUAAUCCUUUGCCUUCUCAAAAUAUAAAGUUCGAACGUAAAACAUAAUGAUUUGAAGACGGAUGCCUUUUUCAUCAUGACAAUUCACUUGUUGCCGAGUGUUUAUUUAGGAAAGUGAUUUUCACACCUCACCAACAGAUCAAAUAAAUCAAAUAAAUUUAAGAGUUGUGUAAGUGAUUAAAAAUAAGAGUAAAUUGUAGCAAUAGUCCCUCAACUUUAAUUAAAUAGGAGUAAUGAUCCCUCAACUAAAAAUUUAUUACCAUUGGUCCCUCAACUUAUCAAAAUGUGUAACUAUAGUCAUUUUCAUCAAUUUCGUCAAAAUAAGUUAUGUUGGAAUAACCACUUAUACAAUUAGGGUCUCUCAACUCAUUAAUGUGUGUAAUUAUGGUCAUUUUCAUCAACUACGUCAAAAUUUUUGUCAAAAUGAGUUAUGUUGGAAUGAUCAUUUCUACAAUUGGGUUAAAGUUAAGGGACCAUUUCUCUAGUUGAAUUAAAGUUGAGGGACCAAUGGUAAUGAAUUUUUAGUUGAGGUACCAUAACUGCACGUUUUGAUGAGUUGAGGGACCAAUGAUAAUGAAUUUUUAGUUGAGUGACUAUUGCUCCAAUUGAGUUAAAGUAAAGGACCAUAACUACAAUUUACUCUAAAAAUAAUGCUUGAAAAUCAUAUCCUUUUAUUUAUUUAAUUAUUUUUGGAGUAAUACUACACAUACCACCUAGUUGUACCAUUAUUUGUACUAUCUUUCUAAUAGAAAUAGGAACAACGCAUGUGGUCCAAUUUUCUAUUUAGAGAGAUAAUACAAAUGAUGGUACAACUAGGUGAUAAGAAUAACAUGUUUGUUAUUUUUGUGUUGGGUGAAGUGUCAAUUUAGUUCUUGAAGUAUUAUCUUAGUGAAAAUUAGGCCCCUGAAUUAUUUUUUGGGGUAAAGUAAGUUCCUAAAUUUAUUAAAAAUUGCUAAUUUCAUCCAUACUAUUAAAUUCAAAGCUAUUUUAUCCAAUUUGUCAAUUUAAAUCACUUGACACACCUUAAAAUGUAUAAUCGUCUUUAUUACACCUAUUAGCCUUUAACAUUUUAUAUAAGUUGCGAAUCUAACCUCUAAUUUAUCUAUACAUUAUUUCAUAAAAAAUUACCAAUUUACCCUUCAAUAUGUAUCAAAAGCAAGUAACGUGACUUAAAUUGACGGAAAAUUAAAAAUAGUAGCAUCAAAUAUAAUAUUAGAGAUAUAGUUGAUAGAUUUUUAUAAUUUAAAAACUGAUUUUUCUAAAAAAAAAUAAUAAUUUAAAGACUUAAUAUUCACUUAGGUAAUAAUUUAGGAACUAGAUUGACAUUUCACCGUACUACAGCACCAAACACGAGCAAGUCUCUUAUUACGACAACCAAUACGUGCGUCUUUCUCCCACGCAGGCCCAGUCCAUCCUUUGAAUCAACUGCGUCUCUCUGUUUUCACUCUUCGAUCUGUGCGUUUCUUCUGAUUCCAGUACUCCGCCGGCCCACCGCGAAAACCAUGGACGCUCUCCCGCAGGACACGCUCCACCAGAUCUUCUCGAGCCUUCCCCUCCGGCAGAUCAUGAUCUGCCGCUCACUCUCCAAGUUCUUCAACCAACUCCUCACCUCACCCUCCUUUGUCCACAUCAUCUCCACCCAAUCUCCGCCCCUCAACCUCCUCGCCCUCCGCCCUCCCCACCACCACCACCAGCGCCACGUGUCCUCCUCAUCCUGCCUCCACGUCUUCGACCCCGACCUCAACCAAUGGAUCAGAUUCGCCCUCGAUUUCCUCCCCUUCCGCUCACCACACCCCGUCGCCUCCUCUCUCGGCCUCGUCUACCUCUGGGGCGACUCGCCCGACCCGCCCGAGUCAGCCAAGUCCCUCGUCGUCUGUAACCCUCUGACUCGUCAGUUCCGGGUCCUCCCUCAGCUCGGCUCGGCCUGGUCGCGCCACGGCUCGGUCCUCGUUGACUCCCAAACUCGAGUCAUGGUCCUCACCGAGCUCGCCGCGCUCUACUUCUCCGGUUCUAACCAGUGGCUCAAGUUCUCAUCGAACCUCCCGUCAAAACCCAGAAGCCCAAUUUUGGUGUUUGACUCGGUUUACGCCCUCUGCGAUGUGGGUUCGCCGUGGAGGAGUGAAUGGAAGUUGUUCCACUGCACAAUUUCGAAGCUCAAGACCUCGCAGACUUGGACUCGGCUCGAAAAGCACGAUUGGGGGGACGUCUUUGACAUCCUGAAAAGACCCCGUUUAGUUCGCGGAAAUGGGAACAAUGUGCUGAUGGUUGGUGGGUUGAAGUCGUCUUUCUCGCUGAACGCUUCGUGUUCGACGAUUCUGAUUCUGAGGCUGGACUUGGAUAGCUUGGAGUGGGACGAGGCGGGCCGAAUGCCGGUGGAGAUGUUCAAGUGCUUUCAAGAGUCGAGCAAGUUCAAGGUGUUUGGUGGCGGCGAUAGGGUCUGUUUUUCGGCAAAGAGAAUUGGGAGAUUGGCUUUGUGGGACCGUUGUUCCGAGAAAGCUGAGUGGCGGUGGAUUGAUGGGGUGCCCGGGAGCGGCGAUGGGCUUUCCCGGGGGUUUGUUUUUGAUGCCACGCUCACAGCAUUUCCUUGAUGGGGUUCAACACAGACAUCAGAGCUUUUGAUGCCAAGUAGAGGUUGGUAUUUAUCCAUUAAUGAAUCCCAAUGUUGUUGUAUUAGCGUUGAAUUCGUAGAAUUUCUUGUGUUAAAUGAAUUUCUUAAUACAAAUCAAUAGAAUAUGUUCCAACUAAUGCUUUGGAAUUGCUUUGUUCACUUUGUAUCCAGUCUCACCCAUUACUUGCAUUACUUGCAUUACUUGCAUACAGAGCAGCCGAAAAAGAAAAAAUACAACGAAAAGAGUACAUUUUGUUGUUGUUAAAGUGUUGUGCAAUGGAUUAUGAUUAAGGAUGAAGUUAUGCCUCUACAUAGAACAAUGAAAACAUUUCCAACUUAGUGUGCUUGUGUUAGUGUUUGCACUGAAACUACGAUUAGAACUUAACCAGCCUCGAGACAGAUAAUAGUGGAAAACUUUCUUAUAAGUUCUUGACGUCACUUUAUAAUGCGUUAUCCUAUUAAUACAUGAACGGUAGAAAUGUACUCUUAGAUGAAUGGUGUUGAUUAGUGCAGCUUAUUGAGCUUGUUAGAAGGUUCUUUACAUGGUUUGCUAGUCCGUUUUCUAUGUUAGCUACGUGCCUGGGGAGCUAAGUCAGUUGCAUAAAUAGUAGGAUAUAUCAAGAAACAUCGACCCGUUCUUCUUCCUUUCUCUCUCCGUUACUUCAUUUCAGCAUUUCUUAUCAAACAUCAUGAACCGGAAAUGGUUAAUGCUGUUUGAUCUCUAUUCUUCUGCGUGCUCAUAUGGGUUCAAGAUUGUGACUUUUUCUGCCGAGAUUUCCUUUUGGUGUUCGUGCAUCCCACCUGUUUGAUCCAACGUCUUAGUCAAGAUCUUUUCCUGAGGUUAUGUAUUUUCUGAAGAAUUUCUUGUUUCUUUUGUGCUCAUUGGGUGAAUUGGUGAAAUGGGUUAUUGUGCAAUUUUUGUUUGGAAGAAUCAUUGUUGAUUAGUUGGGCACGAAGCCUCUUUGAUUAAAACUGUAGAAAUGUUAUUGGCACGAAGCAUUGUUCUAAAAAUCCCCGCCUAGACCCCGUCUAGGCGCUAGGUGGCUGGCCAUCGUCCCGAUUAAUGCCUAGUCGUUUGAAAAUUAAGAAAGGGCACCUAGGCGGUCUAGAUUUACUGAGGCGCCUGCCUAGACCGCCUAGCCUGCCCAAACCUGGUUAGGCACCCGCCUAGGUUGCAACUCACUUAGGCAGAAAAUAAAUAAUUUUCAUUUUGCAUUUUUUAUUUUAAUAAAUUGUAAGACACUUGUUGAAUACUUGAAUGAGCACACAUUAUAUGCUUGUUCCUCAUGUUUUCAUUAUGUUCCAAUACUUCAUAAUAUAUGUCAUUCUAUUUUGUAAUUUAUGAUGAAAUUAUAUAUAUUUUAAGUAUAAGCAUGCACUUAUUUACAUGAAAUAUAAAGAAUUUAGUUAAAUCCGCCUAGUCCGCCUACCUAGACCCAGCCUAGCCGUCUAGGCACUAGACCCUAGCUCACCGUCCAACGAGCGCCUAACAUCUUUUAGAACAUUGGCACGAUGCCAGUUCGGAUUUAAUAUUUCUUAAAGCAUGAACCCAUCUCACUAAGUUGAAGUUUUAGGCUCGAUUCCAAUUUUAUUUGUUUGGGAUAUUUCAGGCUUGAAGCCAGUUCAUUGAAGUACCGUUUGGUACGCAGACGGGAUGGAACGGGAUGGAACUGAGGUUCCGUGUUAUGUUUGGUACACGCAGGACGGAACAUGACGGUUGUUCCGUUCUGCGUUUGGUACGUUCUGGACGGAACGGAACCAAAAGAUUGAAUGACUAACUUAACCCAUGUUCUGUUUGUUAUUUGAUACAAUGUUUAUGCGUAGGACGGGACGAGACAUUUUUUUUUUAACUUGUUCAUAUUUGAACACAUAUAACAAUACCAUGAUUAGCUUUUGGAGAUUGCAGAAGCAAAACAAAAAACAACGACAGAGAAUUUAGAGAGAGAAAGUGAAUGACUAAAGAUUGUAUUCCUUGAACAAUGAAUGAGAGGGAGGGGGAGAGAGAGAGAGAGAGAGAGAGAGAGAGGGAGGGAGGGAGAGAGGUGUUUGUUAUUUAUACAAGUAUUCUUUGCUUCACUCAUAAGCUAUUAACCAACUAACUUAUCCCUACAAUCCCAACAGAACUAACGUGCUGCAACAACAUACAUGGAGACCUAUAAAACGAAAAGCAAAGAGCAUUGGUAAGUAAUAAUAAAAUAGAAAAACUACACAAAUCACAAUCAGAAAAGUCUGCUUCUAUUUCCUUUUCAAACCAGUUCUCCAAAGCUCUUUCAUAUUGCUAAAGAACAAUGGUAAUGUGGUCUGUUGAUUCACAUAGCCUUCAAAAAAGGAGCCAUUGUACUCUUGAUUGGGAGAUAUAGCAGCAAAAAAGGAAUCCUGGAAAUACACAGGUACCCAUUGAGCGCGAGCAUUGUAUAAAUGUAUAGUCUAUGAGUUCAAGUUGAAGCAUGUAAGCUCACUAAACAUGCAACUUCCACAAGAUUUCUCAAUUCAUUCAGGCAAUAUUUCAAACACAAAUUGCCCACAUGGAGCUGAAAAGAUUUAUCAAAUAUGGUUAAGCCUCUAGCUGGAAAUAAAAAUGCGUGCAAGCCAGAUUGUAUUAGAAAUUGAAGUUGGUACUUGACCAAUUCAGAACAUCUGCCUCGUACAGAAAACCCAAUUUCCCAACUUGGCUUAUUCAAAUAAGGUUAAAAACCUUAAUUCUUCAAAUAAGGUUAAAAACCUUAAAUUAUUCAAAUAGAUGAAUGGACAAGAGAAAUUAAAAUGCAAGGUAGGUUAUGAGGUGUCCAUUAUUUGGAAACUGCUGCAAGCCUUAGCAAGAUCAAGUGCGGAAAGACUAAUGGUCUAUGAAGAAAUCUACUAACCAAAACACCACAACUUGAGAAAGUCGUUAACUCGAGCCCAGAAUGGAUUCACUAUAUAGGAGAAACAACCAUUAUAGAUCAGAUUUAUGCAAACUAGGAGGCUAAGGUCACAUCACACCAGAUUCAAGAUGGUAAUAAAAUGAAACCUUGCACAUGAUCGAAACUGCUUAAUUUUAACAUUUUAAUACCUUUUCAAGAACUUAGAGCAUUCAAAUUCUUCCAUUUGACAAUCUUUUGGCUGCCAUGAAACCUUCUCAUAGGAAAAAUUUGUGCGCUGUGUCAUCCGACAAGACCACAUACUUGACAGCCAUUGCUUACAGUCAUGCCCAGAAUACAGCGGCUUCUUAUGGUCCUGUUUGGGCCCAAAUUUACACCAUCGGUCCAAGUAAUUAAGGCCGUCAGAAGAUUAGAGAUUUUUCUUGACAAUACUAUUGUUUUUUUUUUAUCAUAGUAAUUAUCAUGAAAAUAUCCUCAAAGUGUGCAGAGUUGUGAUCGCAUAAAGCUUAAUGUAGAAGAGGCUGUGUGAAAUGCCGUGCAUCAUUAGAGUCAUAUCUUGCAUGCGAACCACGAGGAACAAUAACACAAUGAUGCAAUUAAUAUUGGAUGAUCAACAUGUGGUUAUGCCGUUUGUGUUUGAGAUAAACUUGAACUUUGGGCUCAAAAGGGAGUUAGCCCAGACGAAGGAAUGGAAAGCAAGAAGCCCAAGGCUCAACCGAAGCCCAGAAGGUGGAAGAGGCCUUUUUCCCGACUAAGUACAGAUCACUCAAGCCACCUGCUCACCUACCUAAAGGUCAAGUGAUGUAGACCAGCCAGCUAAUCAGCCCAAAAGUACUUUAUAAUGGCAGGACAAGUAAAAAGUUGAUGAGUCACUACCCUUCAGAGGCAUCCGGGCAAGAUUGAAGCUAUAGAUAGCCAAGCCAAAUCGUCUAUAAAAGGAGAAAAGAGAAUUAGAGACAAGGACACUCAAUCAAACAAACAAAUACACAAACUCUGCUCAAGCCAGAUUUGCAUACGAAGCUAUAGUCAGCACCAAGCCUUCCUUCCUUUCGGGAUCAACCUUCACCAAAAAGCCUUUAUAAAAGCUCUGCUACCCUAUCUAAAUCUUGUUGGAGUAUUGAUUCCCUCAUGUAAACUCAUCUUCCAAUCUCCCCUUCUAGCACUCAAACCCUUUGUAAAUCACAAAGAGAGGAAGUUGCAAGAUGAUCAGCCUUGCCCGACAAGGUGAAACCUUGCCCGACCUCCUUUGUUUUUGUCUUUUCAUUCAUAAAGCUAGUAAUAUGAUGUAUAUUUCCAUCUGCAUCCAAGUUAUUUCUAGCCAGUUUAUGAUUAAAAGACUUCUAAGUUCUAACCAUUUGGGCAGACAAGAUUGAUCAAUUAAAAGUCAUUGGUCUUAAGACAUAAAAAAGAACCUUAUGUGGACUUAACCCAUCCACGACAGUCCUUGAUAACAAGAAGUUCGAAGUUACUUAGGGCGCAAGUAAUUAACUUAUUUCUUAGUCUUACUUCUGUUAUAUCAUGAUUGCUAUAGAAUGCUUGAGUAUAAAAUUAAUUCUGAUGGGAAACCUCAAGACCUAUACCUAAUGCCCGACAAAGGCACCUAUCCAAGUUCGUUCUGCUCUGCGGGCUCAGGCAAUUAAAGUAUAACGGUCGUGAUAUUUCUGCAACAAUGAAACAACCAAUAUAUGUUCGAGUACUUGGUUAGUUUUGAUUGGAAGCCUAAAGGCCUACACCAAAGACCACACAAAGGCACCUUUCAUUACUAAACUCGGGCAUAUUUAAUCAAACUAAACAUCUGUUUUACAUCUGUCAUGCUAAAGAUGGCAGUGGCAUGCCUGAACACCUAAAGGUUAAUUUUGAUUGUGAGCUUCAAGGCCUACGCCUAAGGCCCCACAAAGGCACUUUUCAGGAUUAACUUUGUCCUUCUCUUACAGCCUGCCAAUAAGCAGAAGCCCGACAGACAAUAUCAACGGGCGCCAAACCUCUUGGGGAGCUGUGUGCUCGUUGACCAGGAAACGUCCCCACUGGAUAUUCCUUAAGACGAACAGUUUGGAGUAAUCAAAAUGAGGUGAUGUGAUGGGAUCAGGGUGGUUUUGCAGAUAAUGCAAAACCAUCAACCAUGUGUUUUAAUUAUCAUGCAUGCAUGGAUAAAGCUUAUGAAGAGAUGGUGGGAUAAGUAGCACCACCAAAUUUACAAGAUUGGAUCCGGCAAAUGGUGAUGACGUAAUCCCAUUUUAAAAGAUGGGAUUAAGCUUUGAUUGAUGUGAUAAGGUCUAAGGCAUGAAUGUAGGCACAUAAAAGAUAAAAGUUUUUAGAGUUUCAUUUAUUGUGAAUAUGCAUGAGAUAAAUGCGUGGUCAACAGCAACGGUUACAGUGCAAUUGGGAUUGUUUUCCACGACUUAGGCAUGCAUGGCUUUAUAAAUACCAAGCGGCAAGCAACAUGAAAGGGACCUCCAACUCAACAUACAAACUGUCCUGCGCAAACCCUCGCUCUACGCGAAACCUCUCGACAACCUUGAGAUUUUUAUUUUCCUUUUUCGCCAACACAUCUUCAGUUUGGAUAAAUAGUAUUGUGAAGGCAACCGGUAAACAUCUUCAGUUUGGAUAAACAACAUUAUUACCGUAGAGUCAGCCGAUCGCGAAGCACCUUCAGUUUAGAUAAACAGCACCGCGACAAGGCCGACUGGCUAUCUAUCCAAGUCUCAGUCGAGAAGGAUUUUCAAAUCCUUAUUGGCUGAGGUCAUCUCAUCAGCCUUCUUGGCGAAGUGAGGUGUUACCAGGUUACUACAUUCGACACCCUGAGAGCCGAAUUUGAUAUUGAACUUCGCAGAACUAGCAGCCUUGUCUUCAGGCUCUAGAACCCGAAGGCCGAUACAUGUUCCUUCCUCAGCCGCAGUUGCGAGUUUCAGAAGUCAGCAGCGCACCCAACCCAACAAAUUUUACUCACUGGCCAAGCUCGGCCGUCGAAUUGGCAUGCCCCGCACACAAUCGAAGGACGUAGUUAGCUUAUUAAUUACUUGGCCUACGCACCAUGUAGACUUAGUAAUUUUUAGGGUCAACAGGUCCACAACCCAUUUUCCUUUCGCAUAAUUGCAUACUGGAGCUAUUAUCAGAUAAAUAACAAUCAUUUCCCAGAAAAUUGAAAAUUUCCAUGGAAAAUUCAAGAAAACGAAAAAGUAAAACCCAAUAAAAAAAAGCAAAAUUAAAGAUCUAUAGAGAUUAAGAUCAAACCUGGAAGAUGCAGCGGUUAUGGAAGAAAAUCGAGAUCGAACCUGGAGAUGCAGCUGGUACGGGAGAAGAUUGAGAUUGAACCUGGAGAUGCAGCUGCUACGGGAGAGGAUGAGGGGGAAGGCUACUGGAAAAGGCAGCGGCAGAGAAAAAAGAUGGGACGAAGAUGAAGAGGAACCGUCGCGAACUCCUCAGAAAGUGGGUUUGUGGUGGAGGGAGCGUUAAGGUCAAGGAAGAUGCAGCUAAGUUUGUGGUGGAGGAGGAAGAGGAGGCUACCAGAGAGAGAGGGUAGAAGAGAGGGAGGGUACGGGAGAGAUAGGGAGGGUGAUAAUGGAAUUAAUGAAAAACAGUAAGGGUAUUGUUGUCCAAAAAAUUAUAAUUUUGUGUUCCACGAACGUGGAAUGAGUCGUUUCAAGGGAGAAGGUGGAACGAAAAAGUAACCAAAUUUCAUUCCUUGGAACAGCAUGUUCCAAUGUUUUUUGCGCAACAAACGUGAGACGGAACGCCUUGUCCCACUGCGUUCCGUCUCAUCCCACGUACCAAACGGUACCUGAUAUUCAGGAUUGGUUUUAUCUUUUAAAUGAGCCGGAACCAAGCAAUCUGCUUCUGUAGAGCUUGUGGACGGUGAAGCUUAUUUUUUAGAUUGACAGGCAAUGGCAAAUCGGUAGCUGAUGGGAAAGUAAUCCCACACUUUAAAGUUCCUUUGAGGUGUCAUAAGAUCCAUUUAACCAAUCCAAAAUGCAGCUCGGUUGGAGAGGUCAUGAAUAGACAGACAUGAGAGGAAUUAUUUGAUGACAUAGUUUGGACUCCUAGAAUAUGACGCUCUUGGGGCUUUCUAUGCUUAACUGCAAAAGCAAUGUUUGAUCUACAAUCAAAGCUUAAGGUGAAGUUUAUGACCAAUCAUGUUUGGUCGAGUCAAAUUCGUUAGGAAAAUGUCAACGAGACCCAUGUUUUAGACCAUAUUUUGUAGGGGUGUGAUAUCCACACACCUCAUUUUACUUCUAGCACACCUUUUUAAUUCUCGGCCGUCAGAUCGGAUGAAUUGAAGAAGAUCAACGGAUAUAAAUUAUCAAAGGGUGUGCGAGAAGUAAAAUAUGGUAUGUAGAUAGCACACCCCUAUUUUGUAAUCACAACAGGUGGUCUACAAAAUAUGAUUUAGGCAGAUGGUUUCUUCUAGCGUCACCCAAUUCGUUAACCUGUGGAUGAUAUGAUGGAGGAGCCAAGUUAAAAAUUCAAAUUCUUAAGUCUUUCUGCUUUUCUAAUUAAUAAGAGGAGCUUUCAAGAUAAUAGAAAGAAAAGAAAAAAAAACAUUAAAAAACAAAGAGUUUUAAGAACAAAAUAAAAUCAUGCCUGCUGCACCACCAACAUUACCACCGCAUUCUCUCUCCAUCACCCACGCCACCAUGACCACCAUUACCAUCACUCCUUCACCAUCAUCACCACCAAUGCCACCACCUCCCACCACCAUUAUCGCCACAACCACAUACUCCACCACCAUCACAAUUGGGACCAAGGCCACCACCACCCCCACUGUCUUACCAUCUAUGAAGCAUGGACACUACUACAAUAUACCUUAUCAGUGGCGAAGCAAAAACCGACAAGAAACCCAAUUUCUGUCGGAAAUUUAGCAAAAAUUUGACAUAAAACAAUGUAAUGUUAGAUUGGAAUAGCGACACUAAUACUGGCGUCACAAAAGGGCUUCAGUGUCGGUUUGUACACUUAAUCCGUCAGUACGCAACGUCAGUUAAAAGCGACAUUGACACUGACGUCGGUUUAAAGCAACGCAAACUUCAACAUUAUGUCGGUUUAAAGCGACGCUAAUUACCAAUUUAAUUAUAAAAUAUCCAAACUACCAUCGGCUUUGACCGACAUUACAUAACAUAUGGAUACAUAAAAUAAUUAUUAUGACGUCGUUCAUAAGCGAACCAAAUAUAUUAAUAAUAAAAAAAAUUCAUUUUCCGUUUUUAAUUAAUAAUAAUUAAAAAUUAUUAUAUAAAAAUAAAUCCUACCAUAUGUCAAUGAAAAAACAAACAAUUUUAAGCAAACUUCAUAUUAAAAAUAAAAUUUCUACCAACUAUAUAUUAAAUUUAAAAUUAACUACAAUUCCUAAAAAUGUACAACUCAUACAAAUUCUUCCCGAACUCUUGCAAAAGAUUUUGAACCGGUUGUGUGGUUCAUAGUUUUCAACUGCUGAUUAUGCUUAUUUUUUUUGGCAAUCUUCUGAAAAAUAAAAGAAUUUAUUAGACAAAUUUCAAGGUAUAAUAAAAUAAAUCAUGAAACGUUUACCGUUGUUUUUUCUUUAUUGCAGUAUGCCACCAUCGAAAUAUUUCUAUAAUCUUUAACCUCUGCCGAUACAUGUUUCGAAAAUGCACUAGAAUUAUAACUAGACGAAUCAAAUGAACAAGGCUGUUCUUUCCAAUUCCGAAUUGAGAGUCCGUAUCUUUGUUGAGUUGAUACUUAUAAAUACAGAAAAAAACAAUUAAAAACCAAGAAACAAAAAUAAAUUUUCAAUUUAAGCAUAAAACUAGUUAGAAUACAAAACAGAAACUAAAAUUAAUAAUCAUAAUAAUUUUAAAAUGAAACACCUUCGAGCUCUUCCUUUUUGAAGUGGAGUUCCUCAGAAUGUUGAUCUUCAAAAUGCUGAUCCAUAGAAAAUGGGGAAGGAGAAGAGGAAAACCUGAAAAGGAGGAAGAAAGGGACGCACAGAUGAAAUGGGGAAGCAGAAGAAGAAAGUCUGAAAUUGGGGGAGAAAUGAAAGCACGGAUGAAAUGGGAAAGAGAGGGGUUUAAAUAUGGGUACUUAGUUUGCGUCGGUUUAAACCGACGCCAACUUCUGACACACUUUUUGAAAUUCACAUAGCGUCACUUUAAUGAAACUAGUGUCACUUAAAACCAACGCAAACUUCUGACACACUUUUUGAAAUUCACAUAGCGUCGCUUUAAUGAAACUCGGGUCGCUUUAAUGAAAUUAGCAUUGGUUAAAACCGACGCCAACUUCUAACACAUUUUUUGAAAUUCACAUAGCGUCGCUUUGAUGAAACUCGCGUCGCUUUAAUGAAACUAGCGUUGGUUAAAACCGACACUAAGUUUCUCCAUCCAUGUCCUCGUGCAAAACAAGCGGGAAAUUUCCCGCCUAAUAUUUCAAAUACUAUAAUUUUAUAUAUAUUAAUUUUAUAAUUUUAUAACCCUAAAAAAUACUAUAAUAAUUAUAUAUAUAUAUAUAUAUAUUAAUUUAACAAUUUUAUACCCCUAAAAACUAUAAUAAUUAUAUAUAUUAAAUUAAAUUUUAAAAAUUGGUGACCAUUGGAUCGGCUUAAAUAUACAUAUCAUUCAAUUUCUUAAGUGUUAUACGUAAAAAAUAAAUAAAUUUAAAUCUACUUAAUAUAUAUAUAUAUAUAUAUAUAUAUAUAUAUAUAUAUAAAUACACACACCAUUGAACUUGAUGGGAUACGAAUUCUACGAAACUAAUUUCAACGAUCCAACAGUCAAACUUGUUUGUAUAUGCUUCGAGAUCGCAUCAGCAAAAAAUCGCAAAAAACAAACAUUCAGAGAUUAAUUAACGAGACAAAACUUUUCGACGGUUAUAAAACGAAAAAUCACGAUUUAACGGUUAUUUUAACUCCGAUUUUGAUGAUUUUUUUACAGCUACACUCCUUAACCCUAUAUGAAUACAAUGAAUGAGCUCAAUCUUCAAUUUAAAAUAUAUUACACUAUUGGAUACCACAAAUUCUUAUGUUAUACUUAAUGAAAGUAUAAAUAAACUCUAAGUGUUAGUGAGUCUAUCAUUUUGAUAGGAUACGCAUUCUACGAAACUAAUUUCAAUGAUCCAACUGUCAAACUUGUUUAUAUAUGCUUCGAGAUCGCAUAUACCAAAAAUUGCAAAAAACAAAUAUUCAGAGAUCAUGUAAGGAGACAAAACUUUUUUACAGUUAUAAACGAAAAAUCAAGAUUUAACGGUUAUUUUAACUCUGAUUUUGAUGAUUUUUUACAGCUACAUUCCUUGAUUCUAUAUGAAUACAAUGAAUGAGCUCGAUCUUCAAUUUAAAAUAUUUACACUAGUGGAUAUCACAAAUUCUUAUGUUAUAUUUAAUGAAAGUAUAAAUAAACUCUAAGUGUUAGUGAAUCUAUCAUUUUCAUGGGAUACGCAUUCUACGAAACUAAUUUCAACGAUCCAACCGUCAAACUUGUUUAUAUAUACUUCGAGAUCUAAUACGCCAAAAAUUGCAAAAAACAAUCAUUCAGAGAUCAUGUAAGGAGACAAAACUUUUUAACGGUUAUAAACAAAAAAUCACGAUUUAACGGUUAUUUUAACUCCAAUUUUGAUGAUUUUAUACAGCUACACUCUCUGAUCCUAUAUGAAUACAAUGAAUGAGCUCGAUCUUUAAUUUAAAAUAUUUACACUAGUGGAUACCACAAAUUUUUAUAUUAUAUUUAAUGAAAGUAUAAAUAAAUUCUAAGUGUUAGUGAAUCUAUCGUUUUGAUGGGAUACGCAUUCUACGAAACUAAUUUCAACAAUCCAACCAUCAAACUUGUUUAUAUAUGCUUCCAGGUCGCAUACGCAAAAAAUGGAAAAAAACAAACAUUUAGAGAUUAAGUAACGGGACAAAACUUUUCGACGGUUAUAAAUGAAAAAUCACAAUUUAAUGGUUAUUUUAACUCCGAUUUAGAUGAUUUUUUACAACGCCACUCCUUGACCCUAUAUGAAUACAAUGAAUGAAUUCGAUCUUCAAUUUAAAAUAUUUACACUAGGGGAUACCACAAAAUCUUAUGUUAUAUUUAACGAAAGUAUAAAUAAAUUCUAAGUGUUAGUGAAUCUAUCAUUUUGACAUAGAUAUUUAAAAAAAAAACUAAAAUCUAUGUCGCUUGGAACCGACGCAGGCUUUAAAAUAUUUAAAAACAAUACUUUGUGUCGCUUAAAAGAGACACCAAUACUUUAUGUCGCUUAAAAGCGACACUGUUUUGUUUAAAGCGACGCUAGUAUUUAAAAUUAUUAAAAUAUAUGUCGGUUAUAAGCGACAUUAAAUGUUUACGUCAGUUUAAAAGCGACGUAGACAUUUUAUGACGCUUAUAAGUGACAGUAAAUCCGACGUCAUCUUCAGUUAGUGUCGCAACUAUCUUAUCCGUCACUAUAUUAUAUUAAACCGACGCCACCUACUGGCACUAUAAGGCCCUUUUCUAGUAGUAGGAUACGGAUACGGCGAUACGGAAAAUCUCUAAAAAUUAAGAUUCAAUACGCUAUGGAUACGGCAAAUAAAAAUGUAUAUAGCAACAAAAAUACAUUUUAAAACAUAAUUCAUCAUUCAAAUUCAAGUACAUUUGAAUUAUUAGAGAAGGAAAGUUCGAAAUCUAACCCUCUUUAUACAAUAGAAGAAGUGUGAGAGUCGCAUUCAUGGUUUUAAUUAGAGGGAAGCUCUUUGUAUUUAGCAACUUUCAAUUAUAGAUGUCUCCUAUUAAUUUUCUCCUCCUCAUUACCUUUUUUUGAAAGUGUAAAUGUAUCUUAAAAGCAUGAUACGUGUAUCCUAAAUGUAGAAUACGCAUAUCCAUCAUGUCACAUUCGUGUCCAUCAACCAGGGUACGUAUCGGACGAGUAUCCGAGAGUAUCGGACAAGUAUCCGAGAGUAUCGGACAAGUAUCGUAUCCGAUCAAGUAUUGGAUAUGGGAUACGAGACCAAAUAGAAGUAUCCGUGCAUCAUAGCUUACCAUUUGCCACCUACACCUUCGCUGCCACCACCAUGUUAUCCACAGUCACAUUGCCGACCAUCAACUAUCCGUUGUCACACCGCCACCACCCACCAUCAUUGCUACCAACACCACUCUCGUAGCGAUCACCGUCUCUACCACCACUGCCACCAUCUUAAUAAUAUUUCUGAAAACUUUACUACCAAACAUGAAAUAUGAUACGUUUCAAAAAUCAUUCUAGGAUUAAACUACCAGACACACAUUCAAAUCAUAAAAAUGCAUAAUCCUAUUUGUCGUUUUCGUUUUACAAAACAUUUUCAAAAUUCAUUUUGUAAAACGUUACCAGACGAACCCUAAAUUACUAGAGCGAAAUCAUAAUGGCAAAGAACUUUUCCCAUACAAAGGCUUCUCCAUAACUUAACUGAACAGAACUGAAAAUAUGAGAAGUCAAAUGAAGCAAAACAAUACUUCACUUGAACAAAACAAUUUUAUUCCGUAACUUAACCAAUUCAUAUAUUAUUCCAAUAGCAAAUUAUGCAUCUACUCCCCAUUCUUUCAAGCCUUGUAUUACUAUUUCUCUUUCAAUUAUGGAAUGACUAAAAUUUCAGAUCUCGCGUAACCCUACAAAAUCACUACACAGACACUAUUUGUUAGCACCCUCCAAGAAUGGCACGCCUGCAAUCAUUCUCUCUCUCAAGUUUUCUCUUAACACUUAAACCGAAAGAAACACUCAGGACAAAACAUGUGUGUUUACAAGAUCGGACUGUAUCCCAUUUUGGACACGAACAGAAACAAACAAAUCAUAUAGAGGGCAACAAAAAGCAACCUAAAAUAGGCAGCAACACAAUUGCUGCAAUUUAUUACCAUAUUUGCUUUAAAGGCACAUAGAGUGCACGGUACAACUUAACAAAACAGCAACGUUAUUCUUUCGUCGUGGUAGAAACCCAACAUACACAAGCAAAUUAAAGAAGUGCCACCAGGUGGUCAUCUGGUUUAUUUAUAAUCCCUCAGAGGCAUAUAUACUUUGACUCCAAGCAAACUAGCACGCAACAAGGUAAAUACAGUUAAGGUGCUGGUACGAUGAUGGGAGGUGAACUGUGCGACUCAACAUUCCAUAUCUCCAAAACCCCAUGAACAAAGUCAUAGUAACCACCCUUGAGCGCUAGGUUGUUCUCUGCGAGCGCCUUUUGAACGUAAGGGUAAGUUUGUAGGUUUAUUAGCGACAAAUUUACUGCUUCCUGCAUAAAAUUAUCAUUCAAGAAGAUAUUUAGGUGAGAUUAAUGUCAUAACUCAUGAAAGCGCACGCACACACCUUAACUGGUCACUAAAAAUUAUUUCAUUUGCAAAAAGUGAAUCGAGCGUAAAUGGCCUUCCAAAUAUUUCAUCAAUCCAAGAUCGAAUUAAUAUCUUACCCUUGCACAAUCCUCACAUUGUUCCUCGAAAGUGGUGCCACCUUGUCCAUUUGCUAUAACCUUAGCCUUGGCGGGUAAACCAAUUUUGACCCAUUCAUCUAUGAAGUCACUGCAUAUUCCAAUCAAAUGGUUAAGGAUGCAAAACUAUAUACCAUUAGCAAGUUCUAAUGAUCUCAGUUCAUUGCUAAAAAAAUGAUUAGGCUGGGUUUUUGGCUAUACUCUUUGACCAUCCUAAAAAUGCUAACAAAUAUCCAAAUUACCAGGUCUUAUAUUGCAUCCUUGUAAACGAUAAUGAUUAAUCAUCUUCCAUAAUCUACAACUUUUGUGUGUAAAAAGCCUUACAAGGGAACAGAGUUAUCCUCAGGGUGACUCAUAAGCCUCUUUAUCCCACCACAACGACUGUGUCCAAUUACCAAAAUAUUUGUCACCUGUUCAAUUUUCUUCUUGUUAGCAUUCAAUUCAUACUAUUUUAGUAACAAGUGAAGAGAAAAGGAUUAAGAGUUAUUAAUUCAAUAAAUUAAAAGACUUUUGGAAUGUUUACCAGGAGUUGUGUAAUAGCAUAUUCUAUAACUGCUCCAACUCCUGCGUGUUUCAGCUGUAAAGAUAUGGAAAAAAAUUAUUUUCGUAGUCGGAUGCAUGACUAUUAUGUGAUUUAUGAGAAAUUAUAUUCUCAAAGUUCAAUAUUAUUUUGAACGUGAAACUGACACACUUGUUCAUAGUUUCUAAUGCAGGUGUGCGUUACUAUUAUAUAAUGUAGAGAGUAAUGGACCUGAUUGAAUGCAGGAACCAUGUUUGCAAUGUUGCGAGCCAUGAAGGCCUCCCCAGGUUGGAAACUAAGGAUAUGUGAGGGGCUCACUCGGGAGUCCGAGCAUGCAAAUACCAGAAACUGCGUUGGGAAUUAGCAACAAAAAGAUUAAUUAAACAUUUCUUGGUCUAUUUAUUCUAAUUAAGAUGUUACAGCCAAAUAUUACCUUGGGGCAUUGUCCAUUGGCAAGCUCCUUGUAGUAAUCUGGGUAUUUUCUGUAAGAUCAGUAGACAUUAUGCUUUCGAAUCUAUUAGAUAUAUAGCAAAUAUGUACAAUAAUUAAUUAAUAGUGAAAUUACUCGAAUUUGUUGACCCUGAAGUUGAUGAAGCCAUCUACAAUCCUUUGAACUGGGUCGAAAUGACCAUCUGCAGGUCUUUGCAAUUCAGCCAUCAACUUCUCAAUUUUGGCAGCAACCACAUCGUCCAGCUCUUCCUUCUCACUGCAACCAUGCCAACCAAGAUUAUCAUUAAUUUUAACGAAAACCCCAUGGUACUGUUCAUUUUAACGAAAAACCACAUUUUUACACUAAAAAGUCAAACAUGGUACUAUUCAUUUUACCCUUUAUUUUAUUCUUAUCAUUAAAACUCAAAGUUUUCAAGUCAUUUUCAUUAGUUUUUCUUAUAUUUUAUGCCACCAACAACCUUUUGUAGCCUUUAACAAAAAACAAAUUGGAGACUAAUUUUUUUCUUGUUAGAUAUGUAGUUUACAUGUUAGAGUAAAGUUUAGAAUUGGUCCAUGAACUUUCACCCUAAUUUAUAUUUAGUCCAUGUACUAAAAAUUCGUUAAUUUAAUUUGGUUCUUAAAAUUAACAAAAGAGUAAAUUGUAGUAAUGGUCCCUCAAUUUUAAUUAAAUUGGAGCAAUGGUCCUUCAACUAAAAAUCUAUUACCAUUGGUCCCUCAACUCAUUAAAAUGUGUAGCUAUGAUCAUUUUUGUCAACUUCGUUAAAAUUUUGUCAAAAUAAGUUAUGUUGGAAGGAUCAUUGCUACAAUUGGGGUCCCUCUACUCAUCAAAACGUAUAGCUAUGAUCAUUUUCGUCAACUUUGUCAGAAUUUUGUUAAAAUGAGUUAUGUUUAAAUGACCAUUACUACAAUUGGGUUAAAGUUGAAGGACAAUUUCUUCAGUUGGAUUAAAGUUGAGGGACCAAUGGUAAUGAAGUUUUAGUUGACGAACCAUAGCUACACGUUUUGAUGAGUUGGGGCACCAAUGAUAAUAGAUUUUUAGUUAAGAGAUCGUUACUCCAAUUGAGUUAAAUUUAAGGGAUCAUUGCUACAAUUUACCCUUAACAAAAAUAUGCACAAUUUUGAGUUCACAGACGGAAUCUAAACUAGGACCAAUUCUAAAUUUUUACUUUUACAUGUUAUAUUGUCAAACAUCAAUAUCUGAUAUUUUCAUAAAGUGGAUGGUUAGACCAAAGAUCAUGGAUGAAGUCAAUAAGUAGGCAAACCUGAGGAGAUUUUUCAGGCGUUGAAUAGCUAAUUGGCUUGCCAUUUUGUCUACUUUCUUUCCUGCAAAUUCAAGAAUCACGACCUUAUUAGUUUACAUUGAAAUGUAUUAUAUGGGUUUCUCCACAAAAAAAAAAAUGUAAAUAAGAAACUGAGAGAGUCCCAAGCGGUGGGAAAGAAGCCAAAAUUAACCCUGAACAAAAUUCAAAACAAAACAAGACCAGGGAAACCAUUUUUUUCCCUUUGUUUUUUGAUUUUCUUUUAAUUUAUUCAACUCAAAGGCCAAAUAAAUAAGGAUUGUAUAUUUGAGUUGUUCCUCUAAGCAUUAACUAGGUUUUUAGUUUUAUAAGCUAUAUUGAAUCAAAUUCGAAAUUCUGAGUGCAAGAGUUAAAUUUUUAUGAUCAGUAAUUUUUAUCCUCAAUUGAAGAAGAGUUUCAAUUGGAAGUACGUUAAUUAAACUGGUUUGAGCACCAAGGAAAGAACUAGAACUAAUUAUCCAUAUAUGUAAAUUCUGCCAAAGUUUACAGUACUAAGCACGCGCAUACACACAUAUGAUAAUAUAGUUUGAGUAGAAAAAUAGAAAUUGAUAUUAAUCUCUUGCAUACCCGAAAUAAUCAGAACAUGAUUUAUUCUACCCAAACAAAACACACAUACACAACCGUACGUACGUUCAAGAUAUUUUCCAAACUUAGCAAUGGAACUAAAGGAGAUCAAAUUGCUUCACACAUGCACAAGCAACAAAUACAAAACGCAGGCACAUAUUUGCAGUGAGGGUUGGAGCUUCUAUUUAUACACCGAGACUAGAUCCUUUUUCUUUCUUUCUAUUUCAGUUUUGGAUUGAGACUGACUAUUUAAUCGACAUGUUUUAAUUACUCUCUGAAAUAUUGAUAUUGAUUGAUUGGACAACUAUGAAAGCAUUGGACCACAUUUAAAUCGUGAUUCGUGACAAUAUAGUAAGAAACGAGAAGGAGCUCUCCACCCUUAGCUACCACCCAAUACCAUAUCUUUAGCAGUUUUGUUUCCAUGAAUUCGUUUAAUAGGGUAAAAUGUAUAUUUUGUUGAGAUUUGACGUGAGGAGAAGUUUAUCCCACAUCGGUGAGGGACAUGUCUUGUUACGAGCUUAUAUGGUUUUAGACUACUUCUUAUAUGAUUAAUUGAUUUUAUGAUGAAAUCUCAAUUUCAUCAUGGUAUCAGAGCAAGUUGUCCCUCGUUUGAAAGCCUAAGGGCCACACGUGCGGGGGCGUGUUGAGAUUUGAUGAUGUGAGGAAAAGUUUGUCCCACAUCAGUGACAGACAUGCCUUGCUAUAGGCUUAUAUGGUAUUGGGCUACUCCCCAUAUGACCAAUUGGUUUUAUGAUAAAAUCUCAAUUUCAUCAUAUUUAAGGUGGCGCCAUCCAAUUUGGAAUGUUUCCCAAUUUCUUGUUUUCUUUAUUACACAUGAAUUAUAAGUUGCAUGUAGUACGUGAUUAAGAAAAAAAAGUUUGUGCAUGCGAAGAAGUUAGUAAUUAAUUAGUGAUUAUGUAGGGUUGCUGGUAAGACAAAAUGCGUAAAUAGCUGUCUUAGGAAAUUUUUUAAUCUUAAAACUCAUGAAUAUGCCCGCAAGAAAAAGCAUCUCUACUCCUUUAUAGUGUCACGCAGUGACAAUCACACACCUAUAAUUUCCACUCCUACACACAAGCGCACAAGCUGACACAUGAAUAUGCCCACAAGAAAAACGCAUUUCUACUUUUUAUAGUGUCACGUAAUGACAAUCAUUCACCUAUAAUUUCCACUCCCACACGCAAGCGCACAAGCUGGCUGCAGCCUAGCUAAAUGAAUACGUAACUCUGAGUAACGUUGCAUUAACCAUAUUUUUUUUCAGAAUUCGGAUUCUCGUCUGAUUCUUUUGUGAGAUUCUUGAAUUUUGUGAAUAGCGUUCGUUUAUCGUAUAUCGUGCGAUCAUAAAUCAUUUUAAAUAUUUUUUUUUAAAUUAAAUACAAACAAUACUUGAUAAAAACUGAUUGCACGAUGUACGAUGAAUGAUCACGAUUUACGAAUUCCCAUGAUUCUUACCAAAAGGAUAUGGAGAGGGUCCUGUUGGGUUUUUUCAUACUACAUUUGUAUCAUAUAUUUCUAAUGGAGUAGGAGCCACCAACAUAUGUAUGUUCUAUCUCUAUUAGAAAUAUGCUACAAAUAUGGUAUAAAAAAUAAGGAAAACUAAUGAAAAAAAACUUAAAAACUUUGAGUUUUAACAAUAAAGACAAAAUAAAUGGUAAAGUGAAUAGUACCAUGAUUGACUUUUUAGUGUAAAAAUGUGGUUUUUCGUUAAAGUGAAUAGUACUGAGCGUUUUUCGUUUAAGUUCUCUAAAAAAAUAUGAUAAUAGUAACAUUUUUGCAUUCAAAGUGUUGAUUUAAGAAAUUGAUGAAUUUUUCAGCUAUGAAAAGAAAUUUAAUACGCAAAUUUUUUUGAUAGUAGGCUUUUUAGUGUGAAACUAGUACCAAUGACAUUGAAUGAAUUGUUAACCGGAAAAUUAAGAAAAUAAAAUAUAAUAUACGAGUGUAUGGUUUCAUUUUUAAUAAACACCGAUACCUUCUGUCAUAAAAUUCAAUACCUAGCAAUAAUUGAUUAAGUUAAGAAAAUAUCGGUAUAGUUAGGAGUGGUUCAGUGUCCCGUCUCUAUAAACAUGUGACAAAAAAAUAUAAAAAAUAACCUUUCUCUUUGUUGAUUAAACCUCGUAUUUUAAUAAAUAUUUCUUUUGUUUUAUACAUAGACUAGCCUCUCUGGAUGCACGAGAGGCAUUUUUGCAUCACAAGCGCUACGUGCCUCUAAAUGUGUAUUGCGUUAAUUUUUUUUCAUUGUAAUUGUCAAGAUAUAUUUUAAAUGUAUUGUGCAAAGAAGAACUUUUUAUUUACCAUGCAAGUCCUAAAAAGUUGUCAUGUUUUUUGUUUUCACUUUGCCUAACAUAAUGAUUUAAAUGUUAUUCAUGCAAUUGUCAAAUAACAAGGGAUUUCGGAUGCAAGUUCCUACCUAAAAUGAACAAAAGUAAGUAGAUGUAAAUAAAAAAAAAAGAGUACAUGAAAACAUUUAGUACUCGUAGCAAAAUACAAAAAAACUUAAAAAGUCAAAAUAUAAAACCUACAUCACAAUAUGUACAUUAUUCACAAUACCCAUGAAAUCUAUAUGUCACCUUUUCUUUUGAAAAUAAAGUUUACAUAUUAACAUAAAUGCUGCAAUUUCCACCCAUAUGUUUUUACUACACAUUUGGGUUUUUCAAUUGCAGGAUCAUCCACAAAUUUGUACAGGAAACAAUUACGGAGAGAUGGUUCAAAUAAACAAUGAGAUUGAAACAUUACACAAUCCCAAUUUCAAAUCAAUAUUUCUUAAAAGCAUGAUUGGAGCACCUCUUUUCAGAGUUAACUUGUGCGGAGGCAAACCACCAAGUGAGAUUGAAUUCAAGAACCAUGGCUGAUACAAAUUCCUUGUGUUAUCCUCAACUGAAUCAAAUGAAUACAUUGUCUCUUCUAAAGGAAAAAAUACAGUAAGAACCAAAUAAUAGUGUUACAGAACAAACUAAACAAUUAAUCUAUGACAUUAAGCUGAAGACUAAGAAUACACAUCCAUCAUCUUUUCCUUACAGUACCACAUAUCCGAAUCACUUCUAUCAAAUCUAUUUGAAUAGUGUAUCUUAUUAAAAGUUGCAAAGGAUGAGUUCAUAGGGUAUAUGGCUUCGUAGCGUAAUAUCUACUUUUUUCUUUGACAUAGAUGUCACACUUUCCCAUUCCACAUGAAACUGCUGUGUCAAUUCAAAUUUACCACAACAUUAAUGCUUGUUUCCAUAGCUGCAAAAGAAGUGUUUGAAAUGAAAAUAUGAGUUGAAGUGUAAAUUGUUUGUAGUAUUUAAAAUACAUACAUUGACAAAAAAGUAAGAAAAAAAAAAUUCAUAUCCAAUUAGAUUGACCAGAAGCUCAAUCAAAGAUAAUAUCAAAAGUAAAACCCGUUACUUUGCAUUUCGUUGACAUUUGGAGCUGUUUAAAUUAGUUUUUGUUACCAAAAUCUAAACAAUAGAAAGAAGAACCUCUUCGAAGAAGAAUUUACAGUAACUACAACUAUAAUGCUUUUGUCUACAAUAAUAUUAACACAAUAAAUAAAAAAGAGUUCUCAAAUGUACAUAAUCUUUACUCUGUUUUUUCAAAUUCUAAAGCAUGAUAUGGUAUCUACCAAAUGGAAAUAAUAAAGGGAAGAAGAACCUUAAGAGUAUGUGAAUGGACAAUCUUUUCCUAUAUGGAGGAGGAAUUAAACUCAAUUAACCGAAAGGUAAAAAAAAAACAAAAGCUAAAAGUGGAUGAUCCUGCAAUUGAAAAACCCAAAUGUGCAGUAAAAACAACCAAGAGAAAACAGAAGCUAAAAGAAAUCACAUUAAAAAAAAAAAUCAACUGAAAUUAAGCAAUCACACUUGAUCGACCCUAAAGUGACGUACAAAUGCCAAUUGCCAAUUGCCAAUUGCCAACAAAUUUAAGAAACCAUUUUGAAAUUAAGCAGACAUUGUUGUAAUAAGAAAAAACCUCAAAUGUGCAGUAUAAUUGAAAUUAACUCCAUUUGGAGGGAAUUAAAGAAUGCCAAAACCACAAUAACUUCAUAUUACAUUAAACAUUUUGGCUAAUAUGUUAUAAGCACAACCAACUCGUCCAUAUUAAGAACCCAACAGAAAUAGAAACCAACUUGUGAACCAAAGGAAGAUGUGAACAGAAAAUAAAUUCAACAAAACUGGAAAAAUGAAGAGAAGAAAUUCCACUUAUGAAAGGUGGUUAGGGAAAAAAAUAAAAAUGAAUCAAAAGUAGAAGAAAUUCCACGGCCGACCUGCGUAUUUAUCCUAUACAACAGUCGUUGUCAAACUCUUCAGUCGGAGCUCUACACAUUGCUUAUAUCUGUGAGAUGAAUACGACAAAUAUUUGAGGUUGAAUUAGUGAAUUUCAAGUACACUGGAAAAGAGAAAAUGCAGACCACAUCUUGAUGAACAAAAUUAGAGAAAAUGGCGUAUAAAAAACAAAAGGGGAAAUCGAUUAGGUACUCAUGAUUAAAGGAAGAUUAGAAAUUUCAUUAAAAUUAAAAUAAGAAUUGAAAGCAAAAUCAAAUGUAGAAGAAAAUUCCAUUAAUUGAUAGAACACUCACGAUAUGUCCAGAUUCUUAUAGCCUUACAGGAAGCUUUGCACCGUGCAAUUUUUUUGCCUGAAGCAGUAAAAGGCCCACUCCUCACAUCAUGAUCUGCCACAAUUUAAAGAAGUCGAACUAGUAGAAAGUCUUGGCAGAACAAAAUUGAAAACAUAAAGCAUAAACCCAAUAAGAGUCAUAAACUAAUGAAGAAAGAAUUUGAAAAUUUUCAUACUACUAACCCUACAAUAUUGUCUCGCCCAGACAACACACAUCACAUUUAUCUCCACCACUUGCACCGAUACAAAUGAUUUGAAACCUAAUGGAAAAAGCACGAUAAAUAAUUGGAAAAUGGAUUAAUAUAAACAAAAACUCCCAGAGCCAAGAGUUUCCUUGUAAGCAUAAGAACCUCACCAACGGGCUUCAUUGGAAUGUAACGAAUGCAGAGGGAAACAUAAAGACACUUACAUGGAGAAGAAACAAAUCCAAGUCUUUCACUCAAAAGAAAAUAACCAACAAUCAUCCAUGAAAAUAGAAGGAAAAAUGAAUUUGGAUGGCCGCUGGAAAAGAAUGUAGAGAUCAUGGAGAAUCCGAGAUUGAAAGUUACAUGCGAUAAGAAUCAGUCGAUGUAGAGGAAGAGUCUUUGUCAAUAUAUCUAUCUGUUUGUUUCUCCCUCCCCCUCGUUGUUUUCUCCUUGAUUUCUGCACGACUACAAAUAAACUGCCAAAAUUAAUAUGAAACUAAACUUACCCAGUGAAAUUUGAACACAAUGGAUUACUUCUCCAGUAGAAUUCAUUUCCAAAUCCAACUACUUUGAGAGGAUUUAAAAAAAAAACCCCGUUUUCUAAAAAAUUGGAAUCUCUAAUAACUAUGGAAUCACACUAUGCAAAACCCAAGUCGUUCAUUAGGACGAAGAAUCGCAGAAGCCCAGGAAUUUGAAAUCUCAUACUUCAUUUGAGGUUUUUUCUAAUUGAAAACCCAACAAUAAUAAUCCAAUCGAAAUUGAUUGUAAAGACAAAAAGCAAAGGAGUUUAGGAAAAAUCACCUGAAAUCUUGUCUAAAUCGAGUGUGGAUGUCGACGAAAAUUUCGAAAAACACGAAGAAGAGGGGUCUGUGCGGAAGACGAAAAUGGGUUCGUUUCUUCCGAUGUAUGACAAGUUGUUCACUGUAGAACGCGUAGUAGAUGGCGGUUCCAUCUCCUCUGGUGAUUACAGCCGCUGCGGUUAGAUGUGGUGUUCGAGAGUUCUACUGAGUUUUUUUUUAUUUUUUUAUUUUUUAAUUUACGUUUUUUUCUCUCGGAAAGAUAGGACACAAUGCAGUAUUUGUGGGAGGAUUAAUCCAAGGGUCAAAAUGAAUUUGAAGUGCAAGUAUUUUCAUCUGGCGGUUGUCAAUUGUUAUAGUUAAGAUGGGCGUUUUUUUAAUUUGCUUUUUUUUAAGACAAUUUUAUACUUUGUUAUGUUUUUUUUACUAGUUUAUCGUCAUUUUUUGAAAUGUUUUGGGUUUGGUUGUCAAGAAAACAAUGGGGCCUUCUUGGCAUUUUGAAAUAUUUCACCUAUUUGGCCUUCUCCCUUUAUAUAUAGGGUAAAGCACAAAAAACUACAUCAACUAUUGGUGUCACGACACUUUCAUACCUCAUCUUUUAAAAUUGACAAUGUCAUACCUCAUCUUAUGAAUUUGUACCAAUGUUAUACCUCCGUCAGUUUUUUUGUUAAUUUCUCAGUUAAUUGCUGACGUGGCUUGAUUCGGGACCCGCUUUCUAUUAAAAAAUAAUAAUAAAAUAUUAUUAAAAACUAAAAAAAAAUCAUUUAAUAUUUUUUAAAUAUUAAAAUAAUAAAGAAGGUUAUUAAAAAAUUAAAAAAAAAAACCAAACAAAACUUCCCCCUGCGCCCUCUCUCUUCUCCCCCAUCUUCAUCUCCCUUCAUCUUCUUCCUACCUACUGCAACUCAGAAAAUAGAAAAGAAAAAAAAACAAAAAACAAAAUAAAACAAAACUUUGUCCCUUACCCCCCCAGGCGCCCUCUCUCUUCUCUCCCAUCUUCAUCUUCUUUCCUCUUCUUCCCCCUAUCUGCUGCAACCUAGACAGAAAAAAAAAAAACAAACAAACAAACAAAACUCUCCCCCCCCCCCCGUGCGCCCCCUCUCUUCUCCCCCAUCUUCAUCUCCCUUCCUCUUCUUCCUACCUGCUGCAACCCAGAAAAAAGAAAGAAAAAAAAAAACUAAAUUUUGUUCCUUCCCCCCACCCACACCCUCUCUCUUCUCCCCCAUUUUCAUCUUCUUUCCUCUUCUUCCCCUAUCUGCUGCAACCCAGAAAAAAAAAAAAAAACAAACAAACAAAACUUCACCCCCCCCCCCGCCCACCGCGCCCUCUCUCUUCUUUCCUCUUCUUCCCCUUAUUUGCUGCAACGCAGAAAAAAGAAAAGAAAAAUAAAGGGAUAAUUUGAUUGUGAUCUCUAAUCCUUAACAUUAUUUGAUUAAAACCUUAAUAGUAUUCAAAGUUUGAUAGAGAUCUCUUGACUUUGUACACUUCAUUAUAUUACUAUUAAUAUUUUUAUUUUUAUAGUUUUGACAUUAAUUGUUUGAUAUUUUAUGAGAUUUAUAAUCCUAUAAAUUUAAAAUCCCUCAUUAUAAUACUAUUAGAAACGAUUAUAACAAAAAAAAUUCAAACAUUUUAAUUGAAUAAAUGGAUAAAAACUAUGUAAAAAUAAGAAAUAAUAAAUGGUAAAAGAAUGUAUCCUUAGUGUUAAAAAAAAUUGGACAUUUUACAAACAAAUUGGUACAUUUGACAUAUAACAAAGUGGUACAUUAAUAAAGAAGAAUGGGUACAUUAUAAAUAAAUUAGGGUACAAAUAAAAGAUUAAAAAUUAUGAGUACAAAUGAAUUUUUAAAAAUAUAGGUGCUAAAAGAAAUUAAUAAAUGGGUACAAAAUAAAGCUAAAAAGAAAAUACUACAAAUUUAAAAAACAAAUUUGCAAAUUAAAAGUGGGUAAAAACUAAAAAUAUAAAUAUAUGAUACAAAGUUUAGGCAUAAAACAUAAAUAUACCAUAGUAAUUUUUCUAUCAUUGAUUAAAUAUACAAUGUCACGUGAUGGUAUACACAUGGGUACAAACACAAAUAAAACUUUAAAAAAUAUGGGCACAAAAAAAAAACUAAUAUAUGGGUACAAAUUAAAAAUGAAAAGAAAAUUGGUACAAAUUAAAAAUUGGUACAAACUAAAAAUAAAAAUAUAUGAUAAAAAAUUUAGCCAUAAAUAUAAAUAUUCUAAUUGUAACAUUUUUAACAUUAAAGGAAUAUAUUUAAAAAUAAAAAUAUUUUAUUAUUCAUGACACAUUCCGACCUGGAAAGGUCGAAGCAUGCUGACCGUCACCGUGAGGUGACGUAACCAUAAGGGUAAGUGAUGCAAAAAGUGAAUAAAAUUAAAACUAAUUAGAACUAAACAGUGAAAAAGUGCGCAAUUCGUGGGUUGAACCCACUACAAUUAUUCAGAGCGUAAUAGACAGGGAGACUACGAAAGAGUAGUCAAAGCAACCAAAGUACACUUAUUACAUAAUAGUGAUAAGUUCGUACGUCUAAACAGAAGGAAAUGUCAAAACUGCCGUGAUUCCUCGAGUGCCACUAAGAGUACAGCUAUCUAGGUCCUGGAGGGGCGAAAACAAAGUUGAGUGGGUCAGCAAAACAAGGCUUAUAAGAAAACCAUUAUCUUUGAAUAUACUAACCUCUCGCCAUAAAAUAAGUAUAGUUUCCUCAAAACAUACUACGUAAGUAUGAAAUCCAAUAUAUCAGCCAUAUAACUAGAAAUAUGUCAAGUAAAUGAUGUAUCAUAUGCCACAAUAAUAAUCAUGUGAUAAUCAAUAUUACUAAGUGCUCAUCCAUCUAAGCUGACACACAAGUUCGAACAAAUGGUUUCUGACACGAACAGGACUGGGUGUAAUCAAUAUGCUCUAGUACUAUGAUCACGUGAAGACUGGUGCAAAAGCACAUCACAUACAAGUCGGAUCGCCUAAUGCAAUCUACCCGACAAGACUGGCACCUAAACUUGGAUCCAAGGUGAGCGAAUGGUGCAGAUGUGAACAUACACGUGAAGGACUGGCCCUGGGGCGAGUAUUAACACCGGGUGUAGCAGGAUAAGCAUGUACACAAGUACGUAUGAAUGCCAUGACAGUAAUAUCACAACCGUAUAGCAGCAUUUAUUACAAUUUAUAUCACAAUAAAGAUACUAGGCAAGUUAGGCGUAAAAGUGAAGUAAAUACGCAUUUAUGGAAACUAUAAAUAUAUAUAGGUAUAAAACAACUACCCACUCACAAGUACGUUGCUGGGUCGUAGCUCCCGAGCCUAGCUUGGCCUCGAAAAUCCUCGAAAUAAGUUUCCCCUAUAUGUGAAAUAACUAAAUAACAUUAAUUAAAGCACAUAACGGAAACCUAAAUAAAACCUUCAUAGUUUGCUCAAACCUAGGGUGUAAAUAUAUGAAAUCGAUCUGCUCGACGACACGAACACACACGUGUCAACCACGUGCUGCCCAAAGUGGCUGUCCACGCGCGCCCACGUGCCCCCUCGAGUACACUGUACUUGCCUUCUUCGCGAAAAUCUGCAGUUUUUCAGAUUUUUUGCCCAACUUCUAGAGCUCAUAACGAGUUCGAUUCUCAACCAAAUUCACUUCUACAAAAGCCAAAUUAAAGCUAGGAAUGUGAUCUACCGAUCCCAAUUUACAGAAAGUUUGAAUAUAGUCCGUGUUGUUCAGGAAUUUGGCCUAAAAGUUGCCAAACGACCACGGUUGAAAUUUUCAGAAAACUAUAAUUUUCUUCCCAACUUCCAGAGUUGAUUUCUAACUCGUUACUUAACCAAACUCAGUGAUUCAAAAGCCAUUUUGAAGUUAGGAAUGUAGAGAACAAGUUUGUACAUAGAAGAAGUCCAGUUGUGGUCGAGGUUGACCAGAAAAACAGUUUGAAAGUGACCAAAUGGCCACAGUUCUUGAGUGAAAAAUGGCAGGUUCUCCUUCUUCUCGAGUUUCUGGGUACAACCACACGUUCAAAACACAAACAAAGGAUCAAUAACAACCCAUAGAAGUGAAAUGAAGGUUCUAAGGGUUUCUCAAGGCUUACCUAAGCCAUACAUGGCCUGAAAAUCGAUAUGUCGAACUCGCCGAGUCGACCUUCCGAGUUAGUGAGUCAAAACUCGUCUACAUCAUAUUUCAAGGACAUGGUUGUGAUCAUGGGACUGAGAUGAUCACAAUGGUGUAGUUGGUUUGUCACGUUUGUGAGUUUUGGUGUGUUUUGUGGUUGUUGCAGAGAGGAAGAAGAAGAAGAAAUGUGGCGUGGGAGAGGGAGAAGAGAGAGAGAGAUGCUUUUCUGAUUGAGGGAACAGAAAAUAAAGAAGAGAUGGGAUAGGUGACAGUGAAUAAUGAAGGGGGAAGUACACGGGAUGGGUUUAAAAGGAAUCCAAAGAUAGGUUUUUUAGAUUUCCUACAGUAAAAGGAAAUCGAAAUCUAUCUGAAGUAGAUGUUUUUACACUUUAAAAUUUACGCCUACUCGUACUAGCGUGUACAAUUUAAAUGCGAUAGCGAGAAAUAAAAAGGAAAGUGAUCAGAAUAAGUCCACGUCACUUGCCAAUAAGGGCAUAAUCGUCAAUACACAUACUCGGGGAGAAAUUACAUAGGAAAAUUAGGGACGGGUCGUCACAAUUCAAAUAAUUAAUGAUGCUAUUAAUACCCAAGGACCUUGAUCAAAAAUUGAAAAUCAAUAGGAUUUUAAUCAAUGGAGUAAUAAAAAUAAGGAUGUGAACCUAAUUUCCCAAAAAAAAAUAAACCAAUUGUCUUCCCCCGCACCCACCCUCCACACCCAACCUCGCACCCACCCUCUUCCCUCAUCUACACACCCCACUCCUUAAAUCCACAUCCAUUCCCCCCAUUUUCUCUACGCUCAAGUUCUCCUCCCGCGGAAUCGGCCUGGAGAACGGGAUCUGGGUUUGGUUUUUUUAUUUUUAUUUUUAUUUUAUUAUUUUAUAUUUUUUAUGGGUUGCAGGUAGUGGGUGCGAGGGUGGGUGCGGAGGGUUUACGGAAGACAUGAUAGGGGAAGAAAGGGAUGAUUUGCAAGGAAUGGGGGGUUGGGGAAGAUGAAGAUAGGUUGUGUAGUUUUUUUUUUUUUUUUUUUUUUUUUUCUGGGUUGCAGCAGAUAGGGGGAAGAAGAGGAAAGAAUAUGAAGAUGGGGGAGAAGAGAGAGGACGUGGGGGGGGGGAGGGACAAAGUUUUUGUUUUUUUUUUCUUUUUUCUGGGUUGCAGCAGGUUAGGAAGAAGAGGAAGGGAGAUGAAGAUGGGGGAGAAGAGAGAGGGCGGAGGGGGAAAGUUUUGUUUGGUUUUUUUUUAAUAACCUUCUUUAUUAUCUUAAUAUUUAAAAAUAUUAAAUGAUUUUUUUUAGUUUUUAAUAAUAUUUUAUUAAAUUUUUAAUAGAAAGUGGAUUCCGAAUCAAGCCACGUCAGCAAUUAACUAAGAAAUUAACAGAAAAACUAAUGGAGGUAUGACAUUGGCACAAAUUCGUAAGAUGAGGUAUGACAUUGUCAAUUUUAAAAGAUGACGUAUGAAAUUGUCGUGUGACACCAAUAGUUGAGGUAAUUGGAAAGAUAGAUUAAUAUUUCAUAUAUAUAUAUAUAUAUUAAUGUUUUGAUUUCAACAAACUCAUCAUUUCAAAUGAAGUUUGAGAAGGUUUGAGAAAAUGAGGAAGCCACACAUCCCUUCUGAUGCGAUAGGUAUAUGCAAAUUAUAAAUACAUGUAAAUGCAUCUCAUUCAAAACGUAGAAAAAUCAUUUUCAUACUGCUGAAAGAACCACAUAGAAAUUCGCCAAAAAUCAAGUUUUCCAGUGCUUGAAUAUUAUUUUGAUUGUUGAAUCCUUAUGAAGUAGACACCCACUGAAUUACAAGCACAAAGUAAAGGCGAAAUUAUUUUUCAAGAAUAUUGCGGUACGCAAGGCUCGAUGGUUAUUUUGUUUGUUUGAUAUUAGUUUCGUUUAAUCCGAAUUGUAUCAAUAUAUAUAUAUAUAUAUAUAUAUAUAUCUCAAAUUUAUUUCUGCAAUGUAUAUAUAUUUGCGAUUGAUUGUUGAUUUUUAACCAAAAUUAUAUAAGGAGCUGAGUGUGUGCGUAUAUAUGUAUAUUCUUUAAAGAAAGCAUCCCCAUUUUUUCCGAAAAAUCUUCAAUCUUCUAAAUCGUUUAUUUUUUAAGUUAUAACUCAUAAUCAUUGUUGCAAAAUAUUAGCCAAAUUGAAAAUAUUUGAGGCAUCUAAUUGAGUUCAAAGAAAUUGAAGAACAUUAUGUUCUAAGAAACCUUGAAAUUUUAUCGUGACAAUUAAAUGGGUAAAUGGUUUUGGAUUGAAUUGAUUUUUUUCAUAAAUGAUCUAUGGAUUGAGAUUAACAAAAUAGACAGUUUAGAUCGUUAAAGUUCGAUGUGGAAUGACUUCCACAACUAAUUCUCAUUUAUAAAAAAAAACAUUUUUUUUGAAAAAAAUGAAGAUCGGUUUCCUUAAAGAAAUACUAGCAUAUGCCCACACACACUAUGUAUGAACAAUUUCAUUUCAUUUUGUUUUUUUUAUUAUGAAGUGGAAUUAGUUUUUAAAAUUUUGAAGAUAAAAAAAAUCAGUUAUGAAAAUUGGGAUAAUGAUGAGUGAUUUCUUCUAACAUGGGAAUACUUUUUAUUUUAUUUUUAAUUUUUAAAUAGGGCAUGUUAUACUAACCUGGUUGUGAGGUUUCUAUAAAAAACAGCAAAAUUUAUAUUCAUAUAAUUACUAAAUUGCCUAUAUUUUUUAAUUGGGUACAGUUUUGGUGAGGGGGUUAAAAUAAUAAUUUCAUGAAAUUUUGAUUGACAACUGCUUUUGUACAUUCAAACUAUCCAAAAAACAUCAUGAUUUCACUUACGUAUAUGAAAAAAAUUAUGGUGGGACAAUUUCUCUUAAUAAGUGCAUAUUUUUUAUCUUAUAUAAAUAUUUUGAUAUAAAAUUACUAUUUUACCCUUCUUUAUGUAAAUAUUAUGUAUAAAAAAUGAGGGCAAAAUAGAAAAAAGGGAAAAAAGUUCAAAAGAUACAAAAUUACUAUUUUACCCUCCUCAUGUCAACAUUGUGUAUUUUAAAGUGAGGGUAAAAUUGGAAGAAAAUGGAGCAAAUAAUUGACAAAAUUAGUUUGUUUGCAAAAGUCAAAAUUUGUCGGCAAAAGCUCUUUCCUGACAAAAAAAUUCGUCGGCCAUUUCGUUGCACAAAGCAUUUCGCGUAAAACUCCAACCGACAAAAUUUAACAUUUCGUUUGCUAUGAAGUGGUUCUUUCCCGACAAUACAUAUUUUGUAGCCAUUCUUAAACCCUGAGAAAAAAUUCCGUCAGAAAAGGAUUUUUAAGCCUACAAAAUGUACCUUUUAGCCAAUAUGAUGUGUUCAUCGACAAAGAUAUUUUGUCGACAUAGUCUUUCUCUACCGACAAAACUAGCUUUGUCGGGUGAGAAUUUUAAUUUAUAAAAAAAAAAUAACAUAAGCUUGAACACACAUUUUUUUUUAAAAUAAUGCUUCUUUGAUUAGUAAUAUGUACAUGUACAGUGGUUAUACAAAAGUACAUAUUAUACAAUAAUCCUAUCCUACUCUCAUUCUUUAGUAUCGGUCUAGCAAUAGCAUUGUAUAAUAAUAUCCUGCAAAAAUAAUAUAAAUGGUAAUUAUUAUGUAUGACAACAUAAGAAAAAGCAUCCUUAAUACUGAAAUAAUCAAAUUGUUGCCAUUAAUCAUUUUACAAGUAAUAAGAUUUAGUUUUUACUGUUUAUGAUUCACACAACAAUCUGUUAGGAAGUAGAAAAUGGGGAUGGGCUACAGUAAAACCAUAUUAUUACAAUAAACAGUGAAAACUUAACCAAUUUGUCAACAAGAAAGCAUGUACUCAUGUAAUUAUGUAAUCAGACUUGAAACAGACUUGAAUUUUACUUGUAACUUGGAUGAUAAAUCUUGGACUCAUGUAAUCAAGCAUAUAGUAAGUUUUGAUUAAUACCAUUCAUAUAUUCUUAGAGGCCAAGACAACAGUUCAUCUAAACCUUGCAAUCAACAUUACCUGCAGAAAGCUCACAACUUAAAAAAUUCUCACAACUUUAUCAAAUUGUGUUAAUGACGACAAUUUGUAACUUGUUGGGGAAUCAAAUUACUUGAACAAUGCUCCUUGCUCAUGUCUAGCAUUUGACAUACCACUCAUCCAUUUAUUUAGAAUAAACACAAGGCAGAGAAAAACAAAAUAUACAAUACAAGAGAAAGGUUAUAUAAACUUACAACGAUCUGAGUGUUGGUCGCUGGAUUUGGAUUUGGGUAUCUGAUAAGAGAGGAAUCGUACGAGGAACCGAUAGAGGAACUGCAUCGGCAACAGAGAGCAACUGAUAUGGUGGAGAAUAAUAGCUGCUAGGAUGUUCAAUCCAAGAAGAGCAACUGAGAAGGGAGAUAGCGAUGAGAUCCAAAUCUAGGGUGUGGCAAGAUUUUUAUCCUUCAUCGUUGGGGUGCGAUAGCCGAUAACCUCUAAAUACGAAAAGUUUUUUUUUUUUUCGUUUUUCGCGGUAUCGCGCCUUUUUUUAAUAGACCGUGCCGACGAUUUUCUUGACAUUUAUGCUUCGUCGGGUAAACUUAUUUUUUGCGACAUUUUAUUUGUCAGCUUAAACCUAUUAGUUUAUAGCCGACAAUUCGGAUAUUUUGUCGGGGAAAGACUUUUGUACAGAUUAAAUUUUGCUUUGUCGGCUUAGAAUUGGUUGGUAAAAUGACAUUUUUUUAGUAGGAUCCUAAGGUAAGGUCCUUAUUGACAAUGAAUGUGGUGAUAGAGAUGAUAAAAAUGAUAGUCACACCAUUCUAAAUUUCAAUUUUGUUCUGUACAUCUCACACCUUAAUUUACUUAAACUAUUAGUGUUCAUAUUACGAGAAAAGUUCGCCCUACAGCUAAAGACUUAUCUUCUUAUAUUUAUAAUACCGAUAUGUAAUUUGACGUGAUUGUAAACAAUUAAUAACUACUUUAUUACCAUAUUUGUUUUAAUGGUACAUAGAGUACAGUACAACUUAACAAAAGAUACAAUGUUAUACUUUCAUCGAGGUAAAAAACCCAACAUACGCAAGCAAAUUAAAGAAGGGCCACCAGGUUUUCAUCUACUUUAUUUAUAAUCACCCUUGUUGAGAUGCAUAUACACCUCGACUUCAAGCAAACGAACAUGCAGUUAAGGUGCUGGUACGAUGAUGGAAGGUGAAAUGUGCGACCCAACCUCCCAUAGCUCCAAAAUCCCAUGAAUAAAGUCAUAGUAACCACCCCUGAGUGCUAGGUUUUUGUCCGAGAGUGCCUUUUGAACGUAAGGGUAACUUUGUAGGUUUACCAGUGACAAAUUUACUGCUUCCUGCAUCAUUCAAGAAGAUGUUAAGUGAGAUUUAAAGUUGUAACUAUGGAAGCGCACGCACGCACCUCAGCUAGUCACUGACAAUUAUUUCAUUUGCAAAAAGUGAAUCAAGAGUAAAUGGCCUUUCAAAUAUUUCAACAAUCCAACAUCGAAUGUCUUACCCUUGCACAAUCCUCACAUUGUUCAUUAAUAUCGGCGUCCCCUUCCUUUGCUAUAACCUUUGCCUUGGCGGGUAAACCGAUUUUGACCCAUUCGUCUAUGAAGUCGCUGCAUAUUCCAAUGACAUGGUUAAUGGAUUCAAAAUCAUAUAACAUUAGCAAGUUCUAAUGAUCUCAGUUCAUUGCUUAAAUGACUAGGGUGGGUUUUUUGCUAUACUCUUCGACCAUCCUAAAAAUGCUAACAAAUAUCCAAAUUAACAGGUCUUAAAUUGCAUCCUCAUAAACGAUUAUGAUUAAUUAUUUUCCAUAAUCUACUACUUUUGUGUGUAAAAAGACUUACAAGGGAACAGAGUUAUCCUCAGGGUGAGUCAUAAGCCUCUUUAUCCCACCACAAUGACUGUGUCCGAUUACCAAAAUAUUUGUUACCUGUUCAAUUUUCUUCUUGUUAGCAUUCGAUUCAUAUAUAUUUUAGUAACACGUGAUCAAGAGAAAAGAACUAAGGGUUAUUAAUUUAACAAAUUAAAAGACUUGGAAUUAAUGUUCACCCCGAGUACUGUAAUAGCAUAUUCUAUGACUGCUCCAACUCCUGCAUAUUUCAGCUGUAAAGAUAUAAAAAUAAAUAAAAAUUAUUUUUCGUAGUCGGAUGCAUCACUAUUAUGUGAUAAGUUAUCAGAAAUGAAGUUCAAUAUUAUUUUGGACACGAAAAUGACACACUUGCUCACGUAUAGUUUCUAAUACAGGUGUGCAUUACUAUUAUAUAAUGUAGAGAGUAAUAAACCUGAUUGAAUGCAGGAACCAUGUUCGCAAUGUUGCGAACCAUGAAGGCCUCCCCAGGUUGGAAACUAAGGAUAUGUGAGGGACUCACUCGGGAGUCCGAGCAUGCAAAUACCAGAAACUGCAUUGGAAAUUAGCAACAAAAAGAUUAAACAUUUCUUGGUCUACUUAUUUUAAGAUGUUACAGCCAAAUAGUACCUUGGGGUU
rnacentral:lncRNA from 1 species